CAUCAGCCAGGUGAUUAUUAUUGUCAGCUAAACUGUAAAACAUGAACCCAGACUACUAUAUAAACAUAGUAGUUUAGACUUAUAAUCCAGCCUUCGAUACUGGAAUUAGGUUUAUUUUUGCCAGAUUGUCAUCCAUUUAGUAGACCUCAUCUCCAAGCAGGAAGUUCAAGAUAUCGUCUCCCCAAACCUGCAUAAACCCAAAACUAGGCUUAGUAUACACCCUUGUAAUAUCCCUUUUCUUUUUAAUGCUUAUAAAUAAAAAAGAAAAUAAUAUAUAUAUAUAUAUAUAUAUAUAUAUAUAUAUAUAUAUAUAAACAUGCCUCAUUUCCUGAUAUUGGUGCUUCAUCAAGAUCCAUGCCAUUCAGCGUAUGCUCCAAAUUAUUGCAUUGUGGCUGCAAUCAUAUAACGAGAAACAGAUUUUUAAGCUAAGGAAAUUAGUUUCUCUUAUAGCUACUUUAGUUCAAAUAAAGGAGCAUUUUUAAACACAAGGUUGCUAAAAAAACACGAAGUUCAGAUUUUUUUUUUCUUUAUUUUUUGGGAGUUUGUAUUUUGUAGCAAAUAGUACAAGUAAACUUGCCUGCUCAAAGCUUGGAUAAUAGUCCUCCAAUGGAUUAACAUUGCCACCAAAGUCGGGAUUCACCGUUUCUUCCCUGCCUUGAAGCUGCAGAAAAUGGCAAUUAAGGACGAGCUUGACUAUAAAAUUCUCAAUUUUCUUUGAAUGCACCCGAUGAAAAACAAGUAGAAACAUCAAACAUGAGACGAAAAAUCGAUAUCAACCUUCAAAAAAAGAAAAGAAAUUGCAAACAUUUGCGCUAGAAAAAAUGUACAAAGUUUAAAAAUGUCUCCUAUAAGGUUAUUUAAUUAUAGGUUGGUGAUGAAGCAGGAAAGGGAGCAAGUAAUAGACAUGCCUGGGCAGAGGAUUUUUCACUCCAAGGAGUUUGAUCUGCAAUAGUACACAAGGUAGAAAAUUCCGAAUUUAGGAAUUCAUUGACAGGACCACCAACUUCAGCCUGAUAUGGGCUGCUAUGUAAGUUCACGUUCAUUGACACUUCCGAAUUUUGGUCCUACAUGUACAAAAGCCGACAAUUAGUGGACAAACAACUGACAGUGAUGAUCUACAUAUAUAGCUGAAGAAACAUUCUUAAAUUCUAUAAAAUGUGCAAACUACCUGGUAAGGAGUUGUAUAGGGGGACCCGAAAAGGAGCUCAUCAAGGUCAACUUCGCCAAGCUCUUGCUGAUGAUUAUCAGAAAUGGUACCCAAGGUAGAAGCAUUAGUCAUCAAGUCAUUUUCUCCACCAGCAUUCCUAAGACCAGUACUGGUAUGUUGCUGAGACUGUGGUGGAAGCAUUAAAGUAUUUUCUUGAUUAGUUGCAAUGAAAGUUGGUGAAUAUUGGUUUGUACUCCCAAGCACAGUUGAAGAAGAACAGGAACCUUGAGCACACAAACCCCCAAAGAUCCCAUUUCCUGUUGGUGGAUUAUUCAUACUGUUGUCAUGAGUCAUAUUCAUCAAAACUUUACCACCAUUAUUAGAGCCACUUGAUAAAUCAAUACCGUUGAAUCGCGUUUUUCCUGUUCCAAUGAGCUCGCCGUCACUAGUCAAUAUGAUUCCAGCAUAGUUACUAGUUGCCAUGCUGGAACAGCCGAUUCCGGUAGAUAAUAAUGUGAAUGGAGUGUCAAUAAUAUUGCUCUGAGGAUUCGCUUGAUUUUGUUGCUGUUGCAUUUGCAUUGGUGUUGCACCGAUGGUGAGGCCAUGUUGAGUAGCUGUAUCCGAGGACAGAUUAAUUCCAGUAUUGUUGGAUGUUGAGCGAUUUGCCAGACAUGGGUUGGCAAACACUAGUGGUCGCUGCUGGAAACUAGUAGGAUUGCCAAAUAAACUAGAUUGUCCAUAGUGGAGCUGAGGCACAGAGUUGCUAGUUGGAGCUUCCUGACUAGGAAAGCGCGAGAGGCCGGAGCUGGAGCUUCUGAAACCAGAGAGAUUGCCUCCAUAUCCUGGUUGGAAAGAUGGCUGCUGUCCAAGAAAAGGUGAAAAUUGCUUGUGGGGAUUUUGGUACAUGGAGGUAUAUCCAUUGGCGAAGGAUGACCUAAACGCCCUUUCAGCCAGACUGCGAGAUGUCCAGAAACCCUUCUCCGCAACCUUCUUCAGGAACAUCCGAUAUUUCUGUGAUUUUGACAUAUGUAUACGUGAGAACCAUCUUUCUCCCAACAGAAAAAGCAAAAAAAAAAAAGGUCCUUGAUUUAAAUAUUUUAUGUAGAUGGGGAGUUACUUAAGAACUAGAGCCCAAGGGGAGCCAUGGCCCCAAGUCUCAAACCCAAGAGCUACUCAUAAAAAUGUAUGAUGGCUUGUAACUUUUUUUAUAUAAAAAAAAUAUUACUUCAAAUUGUUUUAUUUUAAUAAAAAAAUAAUUUAUUGUUUUUUAUAUCAAAAUAUUUUCAAUAUAAUUUAUUUAAAAAUCUUUCUAUCAUUGAUUUUAUGAUAUUUUUAUUUUGUGAAUUUAAAUUUUAAUAUUAUAUAGUUAUUUGUUGAAUAUACAAUAUCUUAAAUGAGAUAAUUAUUAAAUGAAUAAUAUUUAAAAUUAAUUUACUAAUUAAUAGAUUUUUUAAUAAUAUAUACAUAUGUAAAUAUGUAUGGAUGGAUGAAUGUAUAGACUAACUAAUAUUAUAAUCUCUUAUUACUAUGUUUACUAGACAUACUUUUUAUUAUUGGUUUCCUUUAUAAUGAAACCUGAAUUUGUGGUUUGGCUAAUUGAUUUUGUUGAACAUGUAUAUAUAUAUAUAUAUAUAUAUAAUUGUAAAUAAAGUAAAAGAAAUAAUUUUUAUGUAUAAAAAAUAUUUUAAUAAAAUAAUUUAUUUUAUUGUAAUGUUAAAAAAAAUUUAAUAAGAUUUAUAUAUAAAAGUUUAAAUUUUAUUUUUGUUAUGAAUAAAAUAUUUUUAUUAAUAGCUGUUUUUUUAAAUCCCUAGAUAUCAGAAAAAAGGGGGAAAUGUGAGAACUAGGACCGUAGUGUCAGUAGUAACGUAAGCUAGUCCAAAGGUGACGUUGAAAAGUAGUGUUCAUAUUAUACGCAAUAACCGUCAAGAAAGUUCAUUCAAACCUGUAAAUGACUUGCAACAUUUUCUCUGGUUAGUCCUGGCACGUUCAUGAAUUCAAGAAUUUUCUUGGGAACAGCCUCUGCAUGAUCAAUUAAACCCACAAAGAAAUCCAUCGCAGAUAAAUAUGGUUAAUUUUGUAAGUAAAUUAAGUAUAUAAUUAAUCCACUUGAAAGGAAAAAAAAUUGAAUAUAUAUAUAUAUAAUGCUGUCUUACUUUCCAGGCCAAUGUGGCUUACAGCCUGCAAAAACAGAUCAUGCAGUGUAUUUGUCCAAAUGACUUUGGCCUUUUUGGGUGGAGCAGGAGCAGGAGCAGCAGCAGCUUGAGCAGGAGCAGCAUCUCGUUCCUCCUGGCCUUGAUCUCUUACCCUUUUUCUCCCCUUUUUCUUUUUUGGGCCACUCUCUUCAUUCUCUGAUGAAGAAGAGAUAUGAUGAAGUUUGUCAUUUGAUGAAGUUUCCUCUUGGCCACUUCCAAUUUCCUGCUCCAUAACAACCUUUUUACCUUUCUUGGAAGCCACUGCGUACUGCCAAACUAUUUUCAGAUCUUCUGGAUUCACUGGUUUUUUCAUAUAGAAUGCAGCUUCACUCUCUAAACUCUUUAAAAUCUCUUUUUCUUUGUCAUCUGCUGACAUUACUGCAUCAAGAACAUGAUUGAGAAUUCAAAUAAGUGAAAUUAAAUGUAUAUCGUAAGAGGAGUAAUAGCUCAAUACUGAACUUACUAAUGACAGGGAUCUUGAAUUCUUCCUUGACUUGCUUCUGUAGUUCCAAUCCAUUCAUUACAGGCAUAUGAAGAUCAGUGAUAACCAAGUCAAAUGCUCCAUUUUGAACUCGAAGAUUUGAUAAUGCGUCCAAUGAAUUCUUAACGGUGACAACUGAAAGAUCUAUCAUGCAAUCUAUCAAGUGACAAAGACAAUUAUUGAUUAGGACAUUUGAGAGGACAAUAUCAUAGUGCAAAUAAAAAGUAAUAUGUUCCCUAUAACUAGCAACUUCUACAUUUUCAGACUAAGAUCCCCAUUAACCAUAAUGAAAUCAUAUUAUAUAUGGGGAUAAAAAAUUCAUUUCUUUAUCAUAACUAAAAUUAAUAAAUCAACAUAGAAAGUUUACAAAAUAAUUUCUUUCAUACGCUGGGAAGAAAGGGUAAUAUAUAUACAUAUAUAUGAAAAGUGAUUCAUGGAAUUAUCAAAAAAUUAUUAGGAAAGCUAAGGUCAAUUAAAUAAAAUCAAUAUUUUCUAAAAAAGAGAAAACAAUGAUUACUUUUGGGGGAAAAUAUCAAAUACAAAAUAAGGGAGAAAUGUGAUGCAAGUAAGAAAUGUAAUCUAAUACUUCCAAUUAAUAAAAAUAUAAUACUUUCCUGUUAAUCUAUUAUGGUAAAAAUUCCUAUAAAAUUGUAUGAAAUUUUUUCUUUUUCAUUAAUUUAAUUUUUUAUUUUUCUAUAUUUUUAUUAGUUGAAAACACUAAAUUAUGUAGACAUGAUAUAUUAUGUUCAUCUAAUAAAUUUCCGUAAGGUAAUUGUAAAAAUAAUUUUCAUAAAAUUGUUGCAAUUCCAAUAUCCCUAUAGCUAUUGUGGUUUUCUAAAAAAAGAAAACAAAGAUUACUUUUAUCAAAUACAAAAUAAGGGAGAAAUAUGAUGCAGGUAAGAAAUGUAAUCUAAUAUCUUUAACUAAUAAAAAUAUAAUAUGUUAGUACGGUUAAUCUAUUAGGUUAAAAUUUUCGUACGAAAACUUUUUUCUUUCUUAUCAAUUUAAUUUUUUAUUUUUUUUAUUUGAUAUAUAACACGUAUUAUAUUUUUAUUAGUUGAAAGCACUAAAUCAUAUAGAUAUGAUAUAAUAAAUUCACCUAAUAAAUUUCUAUAAGGUAAAUAUUACGGUUAAAAUUUUCGAACGAAAAUUUUUUCUAUCUUAUCAAUCUAAUAUUUUUUUUAUUUAUUUGAUAUAUAACACGUAUUAUAUAUUUAUUAGUUGAAAACACUAAAUCAUAUAUACGUGAUAUUCAUCUAAUAAAUUUCUACAAAAUAAGUGUGAAGUAAUUUUGAUAAAAUUGUUAGCAAUUCCAAUCUCCCUAGAGCUACUUUGUGCAAAUACCAUCAUAAAAACAAAAUAAUAAUAAUAAUAAAACCUAACAAAGGCCUAAGAAAGAAAAUAUCAGGUAUUGUAAAACCGAGCUAUUUUGAAUAAAUACCAUCAUAAAAAAAAAGAAAAAAGAAAAGAGAAAAUCCUAACAAAGGCCUAAGAAAGAAAAUCUCAAAUCUAGGUAUUGUAAAACCAAAAGAGGAAUUAGUGAGAUCUUAAAUUUUGAUCUGUUAGAUAAAGAUGAGGGAAGAAUUGGGAGGUGGUAGUUUGUAAUUCAAACAGUUGCUUGAUCGAAAACCUCAAUUUCUUAGUCAAAAUUGACUCAAAUGGAAGACAUCUAUUGCAUCAAGUCAAAACAUUUCCGAUCAAAGCCUUGUCAAAACACUGACCAGUUGAAGAUCUAUUGUAGUUCCCUUCUAACAAGCAAUAAAACAAAAAUUGAGCAAAAUAAAAGUAAUAAAAUUAGCAAAGAAAUACAAAAGAAUCCUCAAGAGGUAUAGGAUAAACAUAUUCAAAAUCCAACUAAGAUUGAAGAUGAUUAUGGAAUUUUGGAUGGCAGGACUUCAAUUUCAACAAUCAUGCAUAGAUAUGAUAUUUUCACCUUUACCAAUGAACAAACACAGUAAACAAAAAUCGCCCUCUAGGAUUUGAUUAGGAAAACAAGCACACAAAACCUAUCAAAUCAAAAACAUACAAGAAAAUCCAGAGAUUAUUGGUAAAGAAAUUAUGAGGUAGAUAGCUAUGAGAUCUCCAAUUCAUAUACCUUGGAGACUGCAUUUUUUAAGCAUUGAAGAGACAAUAGCAAGAGAGGUAGAGUCAUCAUCCACAACCAAAAUUUGGAUUUUGAAAAGAGAAGUUUUUUUCUUGAGAGAUUGAGAGGAUGCAAUUCCCCCAUUGCUCAUGUUUUCAAGAUUGGGCAACUUGGAAGAAAACAACUUAUAAUUGAAUGUACCUCUCAAACUGCAAAAUAGAGGACUUGAAGAAUGUCUUACACUUGUCAGUCCCACUGAUUAUAUAGUGUAAGACCAUUAGACCAAAGGUGCCUUUAUAGAAAACUCACGUUUUCCAUUUCUUUUCCUCUACUUAUUUCGGGUGGUUUUUCACAGCUUAUAUUGUUAAAUAAAAUAAAAUAAAAAAUCAUAGAAAAACCAUAUUAAUUUUCUGCUUUCGCCCACUGAAUUUCAAAUUAAUAAAUGUUAAAAAUCUAGUGUGAAAUCAGCAUUUAAUGCAUUUUACCUUAAUUGAGAUGUUCUCACUAAGAGUUCCUUCUAUGGAAGAUUUCACAAUCUUUCUUGUCAAGUUUUCUUUUUUUCUUAGGUUUUUAUUUUCCUUGUUAAGAAAUGAAUGAUUUUUUUUCAAUUACCUGCUGUUAAUAUUUUUUUUAAUAGUUGACUGAUUUUUUUUUAUUUAUUACAUAACUCACUGAAAAAAUAAUUUUUAAAACCAAUAUAUAUUAUACGUAUAUUUUAUUAGUUUGAAAUUUUAAAUCAAUUGUGUAUAAUUUUUUAGGAUUAGUGAUUUAUCCAUUCAAUAAGUUUAGAACUAAAUGUUUUCAAAAUAAAAUAAAUGGUGAAUUCAAUAAUAAACGUCUAUUUGCAUUCUAACCUUUAAUAUGAAGUAUAUAUUAUCUUUCCAUGCAUAAGGAUAAGGCUAAUAAUCCAUAUUUCAGGUGUAAGUGUUAUUUGCAUUAAACCUUUCCAGUGAUGAAAGGUUUGAGAUUCGAACUUUUAACAUCACAAAUCCAGCUGAAUAUUGAAACUUUACGUUAUUUAUUUUAUAUACCAUGUGCGAUUUAUCUAUUAAAACAUCCAACAAUUUGCAACUAUUUGGGAGAAAUAAAAAAUGAAACUAUAAGUUUCCAGACAGUGGGAGAAUCAUCGGGCUUUAACCACAUGCCGAUUGAAUAAUGAGGUGGUUUAUUGUAUUAAAUUAAUUAAUUUAAGAUUAAUCCAUAUUUAAGGAUAUUCACAUAAAAAUGACAAUUUCAUUCGAAUUUUUAACAUCGCAAGUCUAGCUAGCUGGAGAUUGAAACUUUACUUAUUUCAUGUACCACCUAUAAUUUAACCAUUAAAACAUCCGGGAAAAAUAAAACAUAAAAAUAAAACUAUAAGUUUCUAAGACGGCUGUUGAAAACUAAGGUGGCUUAUGAAAUUAAAUUAGUUUAAAUAAUAAAAUUAAUAUAUAAAUAUUUACUAUUAAUUAGUAUAUUAGCUGCACUCCACUAAUCUCACUAUUUGGAGGUAAAUUAUGUAUAAAUUUAAUAUUGAAAACAUAUUUAAAUAUAUAAUUCAAUUUAUGCAGAUAUAUUGAUAUUAAAAUUUUAAUAAUUCUAUUUGCAUGACGUAAAAUGUCUAAACAUUUUAAUUUUGGCUAUGCAGUUGGAGAUAAUAAAAACAAAAAUGUUGAAGUAACGUAUAUAAAAAAUUGUGCAUUGUAAAAAUAUAGCUUUUAUGUAACAUUUAGCUUUUAUUUAAAUUUUAAAAUUGUUACAAGUUUCGUUAGAAGUUUUUUUUUUUUUAAAUAUGCAUUUAAAUAUAAAAAGAAUUCUGAAUAAAUUUAAACACAUAUAUAGAGAAUAUUUUAAUAAAAAGAGAGUCCAAUUAAUAUUAUUCGGCACUCAUACAGAAAAUCUUUAAACCCGUUCCAUAUUAAUUUUCAAAAUCUAAAAUGCAUUUUUCUAAAAUAGAUUAUCAUUUUAGAAUUAGUUAAAAUAUUAUUUUAUAAUUAAAAUAUUUUAGUUUAUUUUUCAAUUAAUUUAUAAUGCUCUUUAUAACUAAUACAUUAAGAAAAACUCAACAGUUAUUUUAGUUACAAAGGCAAUAUAAGGUGUGCAAACGAAUUGGUGGCAUUUGUUGGUCUCGCAUGUCGGGCUUUUGGUGGAUGCAGCAACCUGCACUUAUAGAAGAAAAAGAUUAAGAAUCCACUUGGAUUGCAUGCACAUGCUUUAACCUUCAUCAACAAAAUCUACCUUUAGAUAUCAAAUAAAACUUGCAGUAAAAAUGGAGUUUUUUUACCUUCUUAUCUUGUGUUCAGUGGUAAUAAAUGGAAGUUUGUAGUAAAAAUAAAUGUGACUAGGUACGUCUAUGUUGUGUAAUUCUGAAAACCGCUGUUGGAAACUGGGCUCUGCUUCUGCCCAUGGUUUACAAAACCACCGAUUUUGGAUUGCCACUAGUUCAUUUCUACAUGACAAAUUUGCCCUACUUGCCAAAAUUUGGUUUAAGAGAGAUUGUGGAAAUUGAAAUUGGCUCUUGCCCUUUUAAGUCUUGCUAAUCUGUCACAUUAAUGAAAAGCCAUGACGUGUACACGCCAGAAUCUGAAGCCCUGGUUUAGAUAAGAUCAAUUUUUAAGUAAUUAAGAUUUUUUUUUUCUUCUUAAUAUCUAUUGAAGUAUUAAUAAUUAGCUAUUUAAAUGAAUAUGAAAUCUGUAAAAAUUAAAUUAUUUAAAUUUAAAUUUAAUUUAUAUUAAUAAUAUUUAAAUUUAUUAUAAAUUUAAUUAAAAAUUAAUUUAAACUAUUUAAUUCAUUUCAAUUAUUAUUAUUAAAUAAAAUUUGAAUUUAUUUAGUUUUAUAUAUUUUUAUUAAUAAUUUAUAUAAAAAAUAUUUUUUAUUAAUGAUUCUCAUUUAAAAAAUUCAAUAUUUAUAAAAAAUAUUUAAUUUUUAAUUUUUAAAUCAAAAUAUAUAUAAAUAUUAUUAUAAAAUAUAUUUUUUAUAUUAAAUUAAUUAUUUAUAUCAACAUAUUAUAUUUUAAUUUAAAUUUAUUUCAAAUUCGAUUAUAAUUAUAUAAACUUAUUCUAUUAGGAUUCAAUUAGAUCAAAUAUCAAAAAAAAUCGACCCUUUUUAAUUCAUAUUCAUUUUAAAUUCGAUUAUAAUUAUCUAAACUCAUGUUAUUAAGAUUCGAUUAGAUCAAAUAUCAAAAAACUCGAUCCGUUCUCAUAAGUAUGCAAUGAAAAAUUUAAUGAUAAAUUGUCACCAAUUUUCCAAGGAUUUUUUUUUUAUACCAAAUUUUCAAUGAUAGAAAAAAAUAGAUAGAUGGCUAUUCUUGCUUUAUUACUUUUUCAGUGCUGAAAAAAACACUCUCAACAUGGAAUUUUACAGGACUUAAUUUUCUUUUUCAGUCAGAUUUUAAUUUGAAAUUUCAUAAUUUUAAAAAUAACACCAAUAUUAAUAAUUUUAUUUGGAUUAUUUUUUAUAUUCCUACCUUUUUUUAGUUUCCUCUUAUUUUUCUCGGACCACAAUUCAACGUUUAGCAUUUGCACUGUAGAAUUGGGAACAAUAAAAAUAAAUAUUUAAAAAAAAAAACAUUAACAUUUAUAUUUAUGUAUAAAAGCUCAAUAAUUAUCAAUUAUUUUUAAUAAACAGAAAUUGCAAAUAAACAGUCUAAAACUGAAAUUAUAACAAAUUAAUAGUCCAAGGAAAUUUGAAUUUUUCAUUUACACAUUUUUUUAGUCUAAAAGGAAAGAAGUUUGCAUUUAGACAUUAUCAAAAUGUGUAUAUGAUCCUCAUAUAUUAAGAGAUUUAUUUUAUAUUAUGAUUUUUUAUUUGAUAAAAUUAUCAUUAUUAUAUAACAUUAAUAAUUAUAUUUAUUAUCACAAAUUAAUUUAAGAUUUGACAAACAAUUAUUUUUAUCAUUUUUUAAUAAUAAUAAAUAUAAUUAUUAACCUAUGAAGAUAUUUUGUAUAUGCACUUUUGAUAAGGUAUAAACGUAAAUUUCUCUCUUUUUAUUAAAAAAAAAUAUAUAAAUAAAAAUUGUUAAUAUAUGAAGAUCUUUUGCAUAUACGCUUUUGGUGAUGUUUAAAUGUAAAAUUCUCUCUUUUUAUACCAAAAAAAUACGUAAGUGAACGUUAUUAAAUAUAUGAUGAUGCUUUGUAUAUGCACUAUUGAUUAAAUGUAAAUUUCUCUUUUUCUAUACCAAAAAAUGUGUAAAUGAAAAUUAUUAAUAUAUGAGGAUACACUUCGUGCCACUCAGUUUUUUUUUUUUUUUUUUUUNNNNNNNNNNNNNNNNNNNNNNNNNNNNNNNNNNNNNNNNNNNNNNNNNNNNNNNNNNNNNNNNNNNNNNNNNNNNNNNNNNNNNNNNNNNNNNNNNNNNNNNNNNNNNNNNNNNNNNNNNNNNNAAAAAAAAAAAAAAAAAACAAAACAAAACAGUAACUACCCUUGAGAGUAGUUUGAGUCAAAGUUUGGUGUCAGAAAUGGAGAUUCUCUUGACCUGUUCCAGGAAGAAAUGAUAAUGCAUGCCAUCUCUGGAUCUGCAUUUUCUGAAACAAUAAAAAGGGAAAAAAAUUAUACAAAAACAGAAAGAGAGAUUUGCCAGUUGGAGGAAGGAACUUAUCUUACCUAAAUCCCGAGCACACAAACUCAGAUUAGAAAGUCAACACAGCAUUCUCACUCUUAUACUAGUCAAAUUUUACAAUACAGUUGGUAUCCUCUGUCUGUAUGUGCACAAUCAUUCAGUUUUCCCAGAUAUGAUAAGUUGAUAACACCACCCAUCCACAACGUCUAGUCUUGGCUGAUUGAGAAGCUGCUUUUAAGUCUGCCACCGGCCUGGAGGACCGAGUUUGUUGAACCGGGGGCAAUCUGGCUGGUGGGCACCACUUACAUCUCCAGUGAAUUCACGCCACAGAGAUGGAGCAUGUGCUCUAUAAAGUCACGUAGAAAUUAUGAAUAUUAAAGUCUAGUUACUCUGAAAUCUUAUGAUCUUCUACAGUUAAAUCUUUGACGGCUACAAAAACACACUUACCUCCAAUAAUAUUUGCAUUCCUAUAGAAGCAUGAAUCGCAAAAUUAGACAGCAGAUAUUAAACUAAAUAUUUCAAAUUUUAUUAAUCACUUUUGCCUUUUUAAAUUAAAAAUAAAUAAUUAUAAAUCUAAUUUUUAUCCGCAAAUAAAUUAAAUUAAUCUAAUUCAAUUUCAAUCAAAUAUAAUUUUGAACUAUAAAUUCAAAGAUGAUUUUACGAUACAAUUAAAAAUCAUCAUUAAUCAUGAGAUAUUUUUUUUUUCAGCCUCCAAUUUGUUAUAAAUAAUUAACUAUCAACUAUAAAUUACUCUAUGAUAUUACUUAAUAAUUAUAACUAUGUGUCACGAUUCGACCUAUCAAAAAAAGGCGAGUCUUGACAAUGAUCCAAAUGUUGAAGUGUCUGAAUCUCAUUUUUAUAACGAAACUGCAUUUCUCACUUAUUAAAUUUUUUCUACUUGUAAAAUUCCUACCAUGUACUCUUAUUUUAUAAUAAUAACUCAUAAUUUAUUUUGUUCAGAUAUUAUAUACCAUCACGGAUGAUUCUAUCGUUAUCAUCGAAGCUUGUCAAGAGAAAGCUCCCCAACUAGCCAUUCAUAAUAAGAUCUUGAAUAUUAUGAAGCUCUCAAAUUGGUUUGUGCAAGUUCACUUCUCUUGGAUCAAAAGGAACGGGAAUCGAGUUUCUCAAUGCCGUAGCAAAAAAAUUUUUGCUUGAUUUCUCAUUCGGAUGUAAUUUAGUUCAAGAUAUAGGAGUAAAGUACAUUUCUUUUACAGUAUAUUAAUAUAUAUUAAAAAAACAUGAAUUAAUUAUAUAAUAAUUUUUUUGUCAGAGGUUAUAUAAUAAAUAAAAUUGAUCGAAAAAAUUUAAUAUUUAUAUUAUUUUAUAUUUUAAUUUUGAAAAAAUUAGCUUAAUAUUUAUAUUUAAAAUAUAAUUUUAAUUAAUUUUUAAAAUUAAAAAUAAAAAUAAAUAAUUUAAUAGUUAAAUAUUUCGUUUACGCCUUAAAUAAUAAUAUAUUUUAUUUUAUAAUAAUAUUAUAAAUAUUUUAUAAAAAAAUAUAUUAUUUAAUACAAACUAAUAGUAUAUACAAAAUGAUUAAAAUAACAUAUUUAUUAUAAAAUUUUUAUAAUUAUUAAUACCAAAUAAAAUAUAUCUAUUAAGUAUUUAAUAAUUAAAUUAUAUUACUUUUAUAAUUAAAUUUAUUAUUAAUUAUAAUUAAAUAUAAAUUAAUAUUAUUUUCAUAUAUAAUAUAUUAUAUUUGACAUUCUAUUUAUAUUUUUAUAUUUUAAUUUUUAAGAAUUAAUUAAAGUUACAUUAAAUGUAAAUAUUAAAUAAUUUAUUUAAAAUUUAAUAGUUUAAAUUAAAAUAUAAAAUAAUUUACCUUAAAUAAAAUAAUAUGUAUCAAUCAAAUAAUAUAAUUGCAUAAAAAAAAAAAACGAAAAAACAAAGAGAGGUCGGUCAUACCUAUUAAAAGACACCAUAUAGAAAUUUCCUAGACCUUCUCGAUUGACCUCAAUUUUUACGAGACAAGUUAUGUAAUUUGCAGUUCCAUUUUUACCCACCUAAGCCCUGACCCUGCCUGCUAAACAUUAAUGACUACGACCUAGUGAUUGGUGUAAACAGGUUUUUUCUGUCCUUGUAAUGCCAAUUAUAUUCUAGGAAAAAGGAAAAAGAUAAAUUGCUUGAUUUAUAAACAAUUUAGUGACAACAGUCUGAACAUUCAAAAAAUGAAGACGGUGUUAAUUAUAAAACCAACCUAAUCUUCUAUAUUAAUUUUAAUAAGUAUAUAUUUGCACUCACACUCAAAAACAAAAAAACCGUAAAAUCAAUAGUGUGACUGUAGUGUAAUUUAAGUUAAAUUAAUUAGUAGCAGAAACGGAAUAGUAAUUGAACAAGUUUCACUAUCGUUAACAAUGAUGGCUUAUCGAUCCAAUGUUUCGAAGAGGGUGUUAAGGCAAGAUCCCAGAGAUCAUUGAUUGAUUGAUGGGAAACAAAUUAAAUAAGCACAAGACAAGGGAGAGGACCAGUGAGUCAGUCUCAUUAAUUCAAAAACUGGACCAAUCUUUUUAUACAAUGCCAUCCAAAUGAUCACCACAACCAACCAGCAAAUUAAAUAUCAAGAUAUUAAAAGCACACUGAUAAAAGAAGAGUGGCAAUCUUUAAUUUUAAAUCAGUAAUGCCAUUAAAAUAUUAAAUUUAUUUUUUUUUUUAUAAUAUCACUUUUAAUUAUUUGAAUUAGUUUUGUUGGUUUGUGUUGUGUAAGUAUGCAUUUAGAAAGAGAAGAAGAAGGAAAUGGUUUAAGAAGAGCAGGUAAGCAACAGCUAAUGGAGUUGUGUGUGGCUAAUAUCAAAACGUGUGCGCACUGUAACCUUUCAUCACAGCCAGGCCAAUCAGUCACAUCAAACACAAAUUUAUAUAAUAAAAGAAAAGCCCAAUAAAAUUAAAAGCGUUUGAGCUGUAGAGAAAGUCCGCGAAUUCCCCGCGCUUCAGCCCAUUGUUUCAUUUCCCCAUAUAAGCAAGCCUCAUCCAUUUGCCCAUCAACUUGUCAUUUGAGAGAACAAUAUCUCCCACAUUCAAUAUACUAUUUUUGUUAUUUAUAGAAAGGAACGUACGAUCCAUUUACUUAUUGCAUAUUUUAAUAUGGCCGAUCCGCAGUCUAAUGCGCCGCCCCAAGACGAUCAACCGCCAUCCAAUGCUUCGAUACAAGUUCCAGCUGAACCUCUUCUGCUGCCCGAUGACCAAUCACCGCGCUCCACGUCAUCAAAUCAGUCGCCCAGACCCAUUCGAUCUCCGGGUGGCUCUUCCAGUCAUCCCAGUAGCGGCAGGCAUCCGAGUUAUAGGGGAAUUCGAAGCCGGAGCGGGAAAUGGGUGUCGGAGAUCCGGGAGCCACGUAAAACUACGCGUAUAUGGCUGGGCACGUACCCUACCCCUGAAAUGGCAGCCGCCGCCUACGACGUCGCAGCUCUCGCUCUCAAAGGUCCCGACACGCCCUUGAACUUUCCGGAAUCUAUUCUUUCUUACCCUAUACCAACAUCCACGUCAGCCAACGACAUAAGGGCCGCGGCUGCAAGUGCAGCUGCAGCCAGACAGCCCAAGGUAGAAACCGGGUCAAAUCCGGAUGCGGGUCAGCCCAUUGCUGAGGUCACGUCUUCCAGUACGAGCCGCGUUGAGUCAGGUCAAGAAUUUAUUGACGAGGAAAUGUUUCUAAACUUGCCAAAUUUGCUGGUGGACAUGGCAGGAGCAAUGAUGGUGAGCCCUCCAAGGAUAAACACGCCGUCGUCUGAUGAUUCGCCGGGUGGUUCCGAUGCUGAAGGCCUAUGGUCCUACCAGUAAACCAAUCCCUUUGCUUCAGCUGCAGUGUAGAAGGAAAAGAGGAGUGAUUUGGAUGGGUAAUUUAAGGUGUUUUCUUCUUAUUUCGAAGCUUGGAUUUGCUUAGACUAUAGAUUGCUAGAUUGAAGGGUGUGUAUCACUAUCACUGCAAAGAAAAGUAGCAGAAAAAACAGGUAGGUGACUUUGCUGCCACUUAUCGUUAAUUAGCUGUAUAUGUACAUGCCAGGGCUGGGGACAGCUAGGGAAGGGGACGUCUCAUUCAUCUUUGUUUGGCAAAAAAGAUUACUUGUGUCAUUCUCAAUGAGAUGAGUCUGAUAUAUAUUUUAUGGUACGGAGAGUCUCUCAUCCGCACACUUUCUUUUUUCAAUUUUUUCCCCGUUUUGGGUCUUAAGACAUAUUUAAACUUUCUUGAUGAACAUGGCUAACUUACGCAACAUGAUUUGUACUUUUCUUCAAAUGGGUUUUUUAGCUUUUCCUCUUCCGCACUGGAAUUGGAGUUUUGACAAUGGUGUUUUUAACUUUUAAGUCACAUGAAGAUGAAGGUUGUAUAAACCCAGAUACUGGUGCAAAUAAUCAGAAACGGGUUGAUGCCUGUGGUUCAGUUAUCAAGAGGCCAAAUAAUGAUAAUGAUACAACUCAUAGCAGCUGCAGAUGUCGGGGAUUGAGACAGAUCAAUUCUUGUUCUCUAUAUAUUACAAGUUUUAUGCCUUGGGAUCUCUUGUUCUUAGGUUUUCACUUAAUGCUGGUAUUCUCAUCACAUCUCUUGUUUUGCUGCUACUCCACCACAAAUGUGAGCAUGCACUGGUACAAUUUGUGCGCAUAUAAUAGAGGGAAACGAUUUGCUUUCUCAUCACAUCUUUGCCCAUUUGUAGCUCCAAGCUCACAUCUUCCUUUAGGGCCUAAGCGUCAUGUUUGUGCAAACGAUGUUUAUGGUUGAACCGUUUUAGUUUCUUCGAUGUUCUACUAAAAUGAACACCAUGCAUCACCGCAAAAAGAAGAUAUUUGUAAAGGUAAGCCGAGAUUUUUCUUAUUAAAUGAUUGCUUUUCGUGUUGUGUUCUGGCCUUGUAAAGUUCAUAUGUAAUGGGGUGCAAACUCUAGCGCUUUAGAUAUCAAAUGAACAAAAAAAAAAAAAGAGUAAAAUCUGUACUGCUUCACCAGGCAGGCACAUAACGCUUUGCCCUAACUUUUUGAAUGGAAGAUCGACCCAACGAAAGCUUUAUUUUGUUUUUAAAGCUACAUUGUGAUCGGUUAAAUCUCUACGGCAGUGUGAAUCCGACAAUAGAAUAAAUUUAGAAUUUGAGAGUAGGAAGUAAAUUGUCUACUUUUAGCAUAAUAAGAAUUUCAUUAGCUAAUCGAUCGGUGAUCUCAAUGAUAAUUUGAGAGUAAUUGUUUAAGCGAAUUGCCUUUAGGAUAAUAAGAAUUUCAUUAAUAAGAAUUUCAUCGGUUAAUUUAUAAGUGAUCUCGCAAUCAUAACCAUAACAGGGAAAUGUUCGCAUAUGUCUUGUAGCGGUAAUUUUAUAUUAAAACUCGACCUAUUUAUGAGGGGGCGAGUUUUGCUGUGAUGUUUGAAUGUAAUAGCUUAAUUUAAACAGACUAAAAAAAAGUUAAAAAGUUUUGAAUUCAUUUUUCACUUGAUCCAAAAUGGUAAAAUCAAAUUAUUUAGUAGUUUCGUACUGGUUAUUAUGUAUAAUUUCAAUUUUUCUUUUUGUAAACGGACGAUAUGAGACGUGAUAAUUCUCUCUCGUUCAAUUUUGCAAUGUCACGUUACAAUUUUAUUGUGUUGAAUUAGGUACAAUUUUAUAUAGGAUCAGACUCUUGAGUAUUGUGAUUCGCUAGUAUCUAAAGGUGGCUCGACCUCGUCCCAUUGGUAACUCUUUCCUUACGAUCCACUAACUUCGCAUAAUUUUUCUUACAAUCCACUAAUUCCACAUAAUUUUUUUGAUUUAGGAUGACUCUGGUAUCAAUUGUAACAUUUCAGUUCAAACUAAUUCAAAUAACUUUUAAAUUCAUUCUUUACUUGGUUCAAAAUAAUUAAUUCAAAUUAUUUUAUAAUUUUAUACGAGAUAUUAUAUAUAAUUCCAUUUUUUCUACCGUGAUUAAUCUAAAUUAUGAAGUUUCAUAGUAAAAUUAUUUUUUUUAUAAGCGAAUAAUAUGAGACGCGAUAUCGAAUCUUUUUUUUCUUAAAUAGAAGAAUUGUAUUUUAAAUUAUCAAAUACAUACCAUACGACUGUUUUGUAGCGAUAACUAUCAUUGUGUAACAUCAAUUUCAACCUAUAAUUCAUGUUAACUAACAUUUUAAGGGUUAUAUUUAUAUUUCUCUGAAACUUUCAGAGAAAGGUUGCUGCAAAAUUAAUGAAAAGCUCGCUAAUCGAGUAUAUUACUGCAGGUCAAUGAUAUGUAAGAAAUUAAAAACCAUGGGGACAAUCUUGUUGUUAACUGAUUAUUGGUAUUUUAAAUAACAAUAAAAUGACGUGUUGCUAUUUUUAACAUUAGCGGAUUUGGUUAUGCAUCUCAGAAAGUUUCCUAUCUAAAGGGGAAGAAAAAUCUCAGCAAGUUUCAGAAAACUUACAGAAAAAAUAUUAAUGGGAAUUUGCUAAUCAUUUCAUUUGAGGACAAAGUAAAGUAGUGAAUAUUUAGAGAAGAAUAAAGAAACUUGGAGUUUCUACUGUCUGGUGUGGUGUUCAUCAAAUUCUGUAGUCAUAUACUCACGCUUUGAGGAAAAAAGAGAGCCUUAUAUUGUUAAGAUUGUGGAAAUUACAAUGUAAAACUGCCUUUGCUAGCAAAUUUGGAUCGGAAAAAACUUUGAUAGAGUAUGAUAUAAUGCAUGAAGUAGAGUUACAUAGAUAUGCAAAUUAAACCAUUAUCUGGAUUGCUUGUAUUUGAGUAUUACGCUUACUGAUUUGUGAACUGUUUUGAAGAAGUGCACCUGGACAACAUUUUGUAAGGAAGAUUUGUGUCAGUUGUCUUUUAAGAAAUGGAAAUAGAGGGAAAGAACGAACUGUGUUGUGCAAAUUUGAAAAAAGAAAAGAAAAGAAAAGAAAAGAAAGUUAAACCUGCAGGGAGUCGGCAAUGGAAUUUGUCGCAAAUUGAUGCUUGAUGACUAAUUUGUUGAAAAAAGGUAAAGCAAGUGGGGCCUAGUUUAAUGGCCCAAACUGUUAAAAUCUUAAACCGACUAAAAGGGGAUUACCGACUGUUCUGUUCUUUGAUUUUUCUUUUUGAAUGACAAUCAAUUCAAAUGGUCGACAUAUUUAUUGGUGUAAAUCUAGAGACACAAUUCGCAUCUCCAAGAGAGGUAGCAGUCUAGAUUAAUUUCAAGGCUCAGAUUUCGAAAGAAUAUACCUAUUUGGUCAAUACCUUCUGCGCUUCAAUUUCACUCCAUGAUGUGGUUUUGUGUACUUGCUACUGCCAAUUUGCAAUGUGAACAAUGUCCAGUGGGUCUCAUACAUGAUAAUUGAUUCGGACUUUGCUACUCUCAAAAUUCUCCCAAGAUUUUGCCCUCAAUCUUCUAAGAUUCAUUAAGCAAAUCAACAUUAUUUUCUAUUAACUUAAUCAUGUGAUUAUUAUCUAACGACCACACUAUCAAUUAGCAAGUUUUCUGAGAUUAUUUAACAAUAUUAUCAUUUUUUUUUUCAAGCAAUAAUUUAGAAAGCCAAAUUUUUUAUAAAAUAGAUGGAAUAUUUAAUGUAAUUUUCUAUAUUUAAGUAUAAAGUUGAAUUGUAUGAAGUUACAGUUGCAAUUGCAAUAUAAAAUGGUCAAUUUCUAUAAAGGGAAAUGAUUGUGAUUCGUCUCCAAAAACAAGACGAUCCUAUAAGAUCAUGAAAAAGGAAAAAGGGGGCAGGGAAAAAGUCGAUGGUCAAUUCAGUAAUAUUUUAGAGGAUGAGAAGAUCACAUCCACCAACUCCACAGAGGCUCGGCGAGGCUCUCAGAUAUUUUUAAGAGAUUCAUUUCACUUAGUUUUUAACGACUGUUCAAACUACGGCUAUACUAGACAAGUUCUCUAUUACAUCACAACUCUGGCCUACCAUGAUAUGCCUUGCCUUUAUUACUAAACUUUUAGGCGUUGCUUGGAUUCCUUACUCCAACAUAAUUAUUAUAAUUUUAUUCACAUUAUUUUCGAUAUAUAAAAUUAAUGGCCAGCAACUAAAUAGCAGGGGUGAGCAUUCGAUCAGUUCGGUUUAAAUUUAAAUUAACCCAAAUAAAUUAAAAAUUAAAAUUUUAAUAUUUAUAAAAAUUGAAUCAAAUUGAUUUUGAUUAAAAACCGAAUUGAAUCGAAUCGGUCUGAUUCGAUUCGAUUCGAUUUGAUCGGUUUCGAUUCGAUUUUAUCGAUUUCAAUUUUUAAUAAUUUUUUUAUUUUUUACACUUUAUUUUUAAUAUUUUAAAAUUUAAUUAAAAUAUUUUAAUUUUAAUAUAAUUUAAUUUCUCUAUAUUAUUGAACAAAAUAAUCGAAAUUUUUGAAAUUAAAAAUCAAAUCGAACUGAAAUAUAUAAAAAAUCAAAUCAAAAUUUCAAUUCGAUUCGAUCAAUUUUUUCGAUUUAAACCGAAUACUGCUCUGCUAAAUAGUAUAUAUUUCAAACUUGGAGAAUAUUUACCUUAAUUUAUAAAAAAUUUAUACUUACUUAAAUUUUAUAAGAUUAAUAUUCUAAAUAAUUACAUUUUUUAUUAAAAUACUCUAAACAGAACAAAUUUAUUAUUAAAAUUACUAAAAACUAUUAAAUAAAGUUAUUCUAAAAUUUAAAAUUAACUUGAUUUAUAAAUUUAAUGUUUAUAAAUAUUAAAAUAAUAAACUAGUUCUUUUAGUUUAUUUUUUAAUUUAUAAAUUAAAAAAUUAUAAAUAAACAAAUCAACUUAAUUUUAUAUAAAAAAAAUUAAUUUAAACCCAUUUAUAAGCUAAUAUAAAUGCUUUCCCACUCUAGUUUGACGUUGUACUAGGUUUCAUAUAUGAGAGGGUUAAAUCGAGAUCAAUGGAACUACCCAACUAUGGACAGUGUUUAUAGGAGAAAACAAACAAAGGGCCAUGGAUUUAUGAGUCAACGACUGUCACAUCCGGAAAGGUGUUUUUCUUUUUUUUUUUUAAUGCAAGUCAAGAAUUUCAAUAUGGUUAAAACAUUGAAUUUGAUAAUUUUUAGUUUAUAAACUUUAAUUUAUUUUUUUAUGUUAUAUAAAAUUAAUCAUAACGCAAUAAAAAUUUAAUAAAUAAUAAUAUUUGAUUUACUGUGAAAACUUACGCUUGUUCGGUAAAUUGAGUCUUAAUACAUAAUUUUCAUUACCGAGUAUACACUCAUAUCGUCUAUAAUCACGAAAUCACUAAUUUAUUAGUUAGCGAUAUCUCUAAUUGAAUGAGAUUAUUAUCGAAUUUUAAAAAAUAUUAUAUUAAUUUUUAUUUUUUUAUGGUAUAAAAUAAAAAUAAUAAUAAAAAUAAACGUAUAUUAUCUCUAAAACUACUUAAAUUUUAAAUAAUCUAUUAUAUUUUUCAUUCUUCAAAAUAAAAUUGAGCGUCAAAAUGACCGCGAUGAAUAAUAACUAUUGUCUCACGCAUUUUUAAUUAAUUAUACUAUAGUUUCAUUUUCACCGCAUCAAUAAUCUAAUUUGAACAACAUCUAUUUUAUUAUUAAUUUAAAAAAAUUCAGAUAAUUUAGCUUUUAUUACUGACUAGUUCUUCUCUUUUAUUUUAUUUUUGGUGUCGUCCUCCUCCUCGUUCAUUUCAUUUUUUUUUUUUUUAAAUCUCUUUCUGCUUGCACUCACUCCUUUCUUGUUGUUUAUGUCCUUCCCUAUUUUAAUCUUGUCCCACUACUUGUUCUACCCCUAUAUUUAGUGAUGGUAAUUUUAGAGCAUCCAAAAAAAUUAUUUAAUAAAAAUAUUUUUCUAAUUAGAAAAAUCAUUUUUAUGUAUAUUGAAAAUUUGGUUAACACUUUUAUAUAUAUAAUCAGUUUUGAUUGAAUUCUAAUUCUUACAAAGCUUUUUUUGAAAAAAAAAAGCUUAAAUUUAUUAAAAAAAAACAUAUAUCAUAUAAAAUAUUUAAUGUUUUCCGUAAAAUUAGAAACCAAGGGAACUCUAUAGAACUGAUUUCAUCCCCUGGAAUUUUAAACACAACUCACCAAUUUACGCUCAAAAUUGAAUUGUAGCCAACCCUUGCCGGGUUCUACCUUCCCCCCAAUAGUCUAAUAAAGCUUGAAGAUGAAAAGAUUGAGUUUUGGGACAUAAUCAAAUACUCAGUUUUUGGGAAUUAUGGGCAUACUGUGUCAUUAUUAUUUUUCAAUUUGAUGUUUUAUUUGAAUUUCAUAGAUUUUUAAAUAUGGGAUUGAAUUUUCUUUUUUAAUUCCAGAUUGGACAAAUUAAAUGAGCGAUUCUUGACCUCUUACAAUUUACUAAUAACGCGAUGCUCUACUAUAAUAUUUUUGGACAACAUAACCUAUAACUUCUGCUACUCUUAUAAAAGCUUGCUCCAUAAAUGGAAUAUUAUCUGUUAGAAGGCUUACUCAAUUCAGCUUACAUAUUUUUGUUAUUAUUUAAGGAUAUCUAAGUUCAUGAAAAAACUUAAUGUGGUAGGACUAUGUUUUCUUGAAUGUUUGGACCAAGAACAAAUGAUAACUAUCUUAGACUUAUCAGGAAGUCCAUCCAGGGUUUAAGCCAAUUUUAACUAAUGUUUCUGAAAUGAGUUGGCAAUGGGAUACCAAGGGGCCGGGUUUAAAUCUCUGGGACAAGAGAUAAUAAUGAUGAUCCAAUUCUUUGAGAUGAGGCUGAUGUGUUUUUUAUUUGCAAUUUAAGAUAAGAUUUCAUGUAUAAUCCAAUUGUGAAAUUGCGUUUUAUCAUGUCACUUAAUCCAAUUGUACCAACCCUAACACAAUGGAAAAAAUAUAUAUAUAUAACACACACAACUGCAAGCCUUGAUUCAGAUAUGCCUCCAGUAUAAUAAUUUAGGUCAAAGUAUAUUUCGACUUCAUUACAGACAAGGUGCCUUUCAUGGUACCUCAAUUAUUUUUAUGGGUACCCUAAACUUUAAAGCUGUAAUUAUUUGGCGUUUGAAAGUGAAUGUUGAUCCUGACUCCUGACGUAGGUACGAGAAGUUGAGCUAGGCUAUGGACCCAUGACAUGACCCAGUACUGGUCCCCUAUUCCAUAAGGUAGAAUCGCACGACACCAAACAUGGCUUGUCCAGCCUGGCUACGAGGACCAAUUAUACGCAGUUUUGGCGUGGAAAAUUCUCAGCUGGGUCAUGUCUGUGGCCCACAUCCAUAUAUGUUUGGAAGCAAAGAAAAUGAAGGAAAAAUAACCAGAGAAAUAAGAAAGUGUAUUAUUUAAAACAGGGAAUUCGGACUCUUUCUCUGUGCAAUCCAAUACGUACGGUGGUCAAGCAGUGGGUGAUGAUGUAAACAGUCCCAGUUUCCUAUCUAACUUCCUUCAGUUACUUCCAACUAUAAAAUUUGGAAUUUAGAUUUUGAUGUGGGACCCUGAAAGCGAUAGUUGGGGCAGCUAAUAAUAUAACAUUUUGUGGGCACGUGGUCCACGCGUUUCCGCGGCUAGACCCAGUGAGCAAGAGACUGUGUCUGUGAGCCACUCAAGUCUCAAGGCAGUUGGAUUAACUGUCAACCGUGUUUUGAAAAGUGUGUGACCUCGCCCCCAGAAGCUUCUGAUUCUACGUGCCACCUAAGCAAGUUUAUCAGGACACAGUCCAUCUCCAAUCCUCAAGAUAACCAGCCUGGCUCCUUAUCACACUCCGUGUUCGUGUUUCUUCAGAAAAUGCUAAACUCUCACUUUUGCAGGCUUAUAAACUACAUAUCACUUCGUCGUAUAAAAUCAACUCAUCAUUUUCCAAUUUUUAUGCGCCCAAACAAUUCCUUAAUCCUUUUCUUACACACUCACACUCUCUACUUCUAGCUUAAACCCAACCCUUACUUUCUACAAUGGAUGUUUUCUCUCAGUACUCUGACUCACUCCCUUUUGCCUCUCAUUCUUGGUCGCCUGAUACCUGCAGUGCUGCAAACUUUUCCGAUGAGGACAUCUUGCUAGCUUCCAGCUAUCCCAAGAAGCGGGCAGGCCGAAAGAAGUUCCGGGAGACGCGCCAUCCUGUUUACCGUGGGGUCCGCCAGAGGAACUCCGGGAAGUGGGUUUGUGAAGUUAGAGAACCGAACAAGAAAUCAAGAAUAUGGUUAGGGACUUUCCCCACGGCUGAAAUGGCUGCCCGAGCUCACGACGUGGCUGCGCUAGCUCUGAGAGGACGAUCUGCCUGCUUGAAUUUUGCGGACUCGUCAUGGCGACUUCCUGUACCUGCAUCCAGUGAAGCGAAGGACAUUCAGAAGGCGGCAGCAGAGGCAGCAAUGGCAUUCCAACCGGUGGGGACAGAAGGGUUUUGUGAAGAAGUAAAACUAGAAAAUAAGACAACGACGGAGGCAGCUACAGAGGAAGUAUUUUAUAUGGAUGAAGAGGCGGUUUUUGGGAUGCCAGGACUACUGGCAUAUAUGGCAGAAGGGAUGCUAUUGCCUCCACCGCAAUGCGUUGCACAGAGCGGGGAAGACAUAGAAACGGAUGCAGCUGAUGUGCCAUUAUGGAGUUUUUCUGUAUAAUUUAUUAAGAAAAUAAACUUAGUGUUUUAUUAGAUAUAGUAUAUACAAAUGUAGCUUGAUAUUCAGUGCAUCACUAAGGUCGAGUGUAUUUGGUGCUAGCUUCAUUGUAAACCCAUAAAAAGCAAAAAAGAAAAAAAAAAAAAGAGAAAAUCCUCCGUACUUAAUAUUUUUUACUAGUACGGUAAGAAAUGGAAAGGUUGAAUUUGACAAAAGGGCGAACUUGUGUGUUAAGAUUGAAAAUGUAACACUUCAGUUUAAAUUGAUGAAAAUAAUUUUUAAAUUUAUUUUUUAUUUAAUUUAAAUUAUUUAAUAAAUUUUUAACUAAUUAAUAUAUACAAUUUCAAAUUUUUUAAGAAAUCAAUGUGGAUGUUUCAUAAAAAGACGUUAUCGAGGAGGUUUAGUGUUUAGUCAUGUGGGCAUGAUAUGCCGUGAGUACAUUACCGAUGGAGCUUUGUACUUCGCUGGUAAUUAUGAUCCAUAUCUUAAUGUGGAUGUACAUAUAAUAAUCAUGCGUGGAAGUUUGUCUGGCGGCUAAAGCGCACUCAUUUGUCUGUAAUAUUUGAUCUCCUUUCCAAAAAAGACAGUAGGGUCGAUCCCUUAUUUCCGAAUACUUCGGAAGCUUGGCUCUAUUUCCUUCUGCUCUUUUUUGAUCCCGUGCCUGCAAUUUGGAGCAACCAAAUUUUGCACGCCGCUUCCGAGACAAUUUUGGGAGAUGAUGGGCUAAAACUACAAGCAUUCGGAUUAUCCUAUAAUUAACGGAUGUAGCUGUGUUCAAUUCAAUCCAUGUGAUUCAAUAAUCACACAGUAGAAACAUAUUCGACAAUUCAAAUUCUUCAGCCCAGUUUCAUCAUAUGGAGAAGAAAAUCUCAAAACCUGAGUUUCAUUAAAGAUCGUAUACCACAUUUUCAUUUUCAAUGGAAAUAAUAGAUCAACACUAAAUUAAAUACUAAGUGAAAGGAUCAGCCGCGGUAAGCAUGAGGGACAAAUGCAUGCACGGGAAAACAACGCCUUUUGGUUGUUCGAGGCAUAUUUGAGCCUGCAAUGUGCUUGACAAAAAUCAAAAUCUAUUUGGAGAAUUGGGUAGACGAAUGUGUUAUAGAAUGCUAUUUGAUUUUCUUCAGGAGACUUGAAGUACUAAACUUCGCAUCAUCCCUGACAAAGCUCCACAACCAAAGACCGUGAGCAUCAACAAAUCCGUGAUAUGGUGGGAAGUCGUAUGGUAUCCAAGAGCAUAGCGAGACCUCCACCCACAACCACCAUCCACAACUUGCACCGGGAUGCAUGAUGAGUAACACUUGCCCAAAUAAGCAGCUGAGUUAAACCCAUAGCCCCACAUACUUUCAUAUUUAGGCCUGCAAAAGAAUCGACCAAUGUAAAACCAUAUCACAAGAGAGGCACACGUGCAGUAACAACUAAGCAUUUGCAACUUCUCUCAAUAUUUUUCUUUUAUUCUAAUUUAAUUUUAAGUUUUUGAAGGGGGAAAGGGUGUGAGGAUGUUUGACUUACGCAUGCUUUAUUGUAUUCCCCCAUUUUGCAGAAACUUCAACUUGUCCAUGAACAAAAAAAUUCCUUGCUUCUUUGUGAUCACCGAAUAAGAUACUGAAUGGGCAUUAUAGAUCCCCUAUAUUAGAUAACUCAGUUAAAGCAAUCUUAGAAAAUUGGGAAUUUCAAGUUAUAGAUUAUAUUUGUUAUACAAAGUACAGAAACAGUAAUUGCAUGUGAUGUGCAUACGAGACAAACCAAGUCUAAAUCAGACAACAGGGAUAAAGACAGAAUAGCAAGAAAAUUAGCAGCGCAGUUCAAAAUAGCUGAAGGAAAAACAGAUUUGAUUAAACACAUUUUUAACAGUAGCAUUCUAAUGGAACUCCAGAAUAGUCUAAGGUAGAUUUUGAGGCAUCACACGACAUGAAAAUUACUAGAGAAAUAAUUACCACAGUCAAGAUCAUAGACGUUCAGAUACAUAAUAUGUGUUGCAAGAGAUGCAAUUAAAGGAGCUGCAACCAUGAUACUUGCAGCCUCAAUUCUCACGUUGAAAGCUUGCAGUAUCACUAAAAUUAGGGUAGUUGCAAGUAAAGACAGCAGAGGAAUAUUCUAGCUUCUCUGUCAACUCAAAAUCUCUGCAAUUAAUUAACUUAGAAAAUGACAUAGAAGGCACUAGCAAAAGAUGAAAAAUAUAAUAAAAAGAUAUGUGUGUAUGCAGAGGCCACUGCUUACUGCAGUGCUACAAGUUAGAGCUUCCAAUUGUAGGAGAGAAAUUUGAAGUCCUCAGAGCAGUAACUUAAAGUCUUAAACGUAAAAAUGAUAUUGCAUGAGUGUGCUAAAAUUUUCCACUCAGAACCCUGUUUUAAGACCAUAACGGGAUAAUGACCUCUACUUCUGUAGAUGUACAGUUAAUGUAUUUGUAACUAUAAGUGCACAUAUUAUAUAAGAAAAAUUAUGUGCAUUUAUCAUUUUAUAUACUAGAGUUGUAAGUUUAAAUAAACGCUUGAUCCUCUCCAGAAGAAUGUCACCAAUCACAACUAUGAUGAACAGUCAAGCAGGGUCAAAAUCCGUUUCUCCUAACUUAUUGUCCAUCAUAACAUUCAAUAUCAUGGAUAGCAGAGCCAACAUUCAUUUCUAUUAACUCUCUCCACUAUAACGUUUUUCAUUUGGAUAGAGGACAUCAAAAUUGGUCAUUUGGUUGUUAGGUGUGGAAGCAUUAUACAAUGUAAACCAAAUUCUUGAAAAUUCAAGAACAUAACCAUUACUGGUAAGGCAUUAUCUUGUCAUGAUGUCGGGAAGAAAAUUUACCCCUUCCAAUUUUUGUCUACUAAUACAGCUUACCGACUGUGGAAAGCACUCCAAAACCAAGAAUUCAUUGAUAGGAUCUCAUAGACAUGCCACAAGCCAGUAAAUUCAAAAUGUCUACUUAUUUGGCCACAACAGCAGCAUUUACUAUAUAAGGAUGAAAAAGGACACAAAACCAUGAAACUGAAUGGCGAUAGGUAAAGCAGAGACAGCAACAGAAACAGGUUCCUGAGAAGCACAAACACAUUUACUUGAAAUAAUUGGGUAAUGUAUUCAAUUAUAUUGAAACAGGCCGACCCAAACUGAACCAAAUAACUUUUAACCCAAAUUAUUUAGUAGGUUUGUACUAGUUAUUAUAUACAAUUCCAAUUUUUCAUGAUCUUCCGAUGUGGGAUGGCUUCCGCACCGGAAACAGGCAGCUGACCAUUACACUCGGUCCCGCUAAAUUUACGAUGUCCUCGUUGCAACUAAAUCGGUUACAAUUACUAACCUCGUCUUUUACGGGUAACCCUUUCCUCGCAGGUCCACUAGCUCUGCACAAUUUGUCUGACCCAGGUGGCAGGUGUUGGAAAGAAUCCUCUGCCAUGAUUGUAAAUCAAUCAGUGUUGGAAAGAAUCCUCUGCCAUGAUUGUAAAUCAAUCAGUGAUCAAAUCUUACCAUGUUUAGUAUAGCACGAUUCUAGGACAUAAUUGAGGGCACAAUCAAAGGUCUAAUUGUUCAUAUUAUGUACUAUAUAAACUCUGUAACUUACUACACAAGAGGUAAGAAAAUAGAAGCAAAUUUCUUCCUAUAAUCUCAAUAUGGUAUCAGAGCGGGUUCCGAUCCUGGAAUUAUAGCCGUCCUGCAACCAUCCGUUACCAGAUAUUUUUCCCGACCUUCUCUCACUAAACCAACCUACCAGAUACCUUUCCCAACUUCUUUCUCUCACCGAAACAACAAUGGCCGACCACCCCAGCCCGGCUGACCAAUCCCAGGCAAUAAUUGAUCCAAUAGCAGACUNNNNNNNNNNNNNNNNNNNNNNNNNNNNNNNNNNNNNNNNNNNNNNNNNNNNNNNNNNNNNNNNNNNNNNNNNNNNNNNNNNNNNNNNNNNNNNNNNNNNNNNNNNNNNNNNNNNNNNNNNNNNNNNNNNNNNNNNNNNNNNNNNNNNNNNNNNNNNNNNNNNNNNNNNNNNNNNNNNNNNNNNNNNNNNNNNNNNNNNNNNNNNNNNNNNNNNNNNNNNNNNNNNNNNNNNNNNNNNNNNNNNNNNNNNNNNNNNNNNNNNNNNNNNNNNNNNNNNNNNNNNNNNNNNNNNNNNNNNNNNNNNNNNNNNNNNNNNNNNNNNNNNNNNNNNNNNNNNNNNNNNNNNNNNNNNNNNNNNNNNNNNNNNNNNNNNNNNNNNNNNNNNNNNNNNNNNNNNNNNNNNNNNNNNNNNNNNNNNNNNNNNNNNNNNNNNNNNNNNNNNNNNNNNNNNNNNNNNNNNNNNNNNNNNNNNNNNNNNNNNNNNNNNNNNNNNNNNNNNNNNNNNNNNNNNNNNNNNNNNNNNNNNNNNNNNNNNNNNNNNNNNNNNNNNNNNNNNNNNNNNNNNNNNNNNNNNNNNNNNNNNNNNNNNNNNNNNNNNNNNNNNNNNNNNNNNNNNNNNNNNNNNNNNNNNNNNNNNNNNNNNNNNNNNNNNNNNNNNNNNNNNNNNNNNNNNNNNNNNNNNNNNNNNNNNNNNNNNNNNNNNNNNNNNNNNNNNNNNNNNNNNNNNNNNNNNNNNNNNNNNNNNNNNNNNNNNNNNNNNNNNNNNNNNNNNNNNNNNNNNNNNNNNNNNNNNNNNNNNNNNNNNNNNNNNNNNNNNNNNNNNNNNNNNNNNNNNNNNNNNNNNNNNNNNNNNNNNNNNNNNNNNNNNNNNNNNNNNNNNNNNNNNNNNNNNNNNNNNNNNNNNNNNNNNNNNNNNNNNNNNNNNNNNNNNNNNNNNNNNNNNNNNNNNNNNNNNNNNNNNNNNNNNNNNNNNNNNNNNNNNNNNNNNNNNNNNNNNNNNNNNNNNNNNNNNNNNNNNNNNNNNNNNNNNNNNNNNNNNNNNNNNNNNNNNNNNNNNNNNNNNNNNNNNNNNNNNNNNNNNNNNNNNNNNNNNNNNNNNNNNNNNNNNNNNNNNNNNNNNNNNNNNNNNNNNNNNNNNNNNNNNNNNNNNNNNNNNNNNNNNNNNNNNNNNNNNNNNNNNNNNNNNNNNNNNNNNNNNNNNNNNNNNNNNNNNNNNNNNNNNNNNNNNNNNNNNNNNNNNNNNNNNNNNNNNNNNNNNNNNNNNNNNNNNNNNNNNNNNNNNNNNNNNNNNNNNNNNNNNNNNNNNNNNNNNNNNNNNNNNNNNNNNNNNNNNNNNNNNNNNNNNNNNNNNNNNNNNNNNNNNNNNNNNNNNNNNNNNNNNNNNNNNNNNNNNNNNNNNNNNNNNNNNNNNNNNNNNNNNNNNNNNNNNNNNNNNNNNNNNNNNNNNNNNNNNNNNNNNNNNNNNNNNNNNNNNNNNNNNNNNNNNNNNNNNNNNNNNNNNNNNNNNNNNNNNNNNNNNNNNNNNNNNNNNNNNNNNNNNNNNNNNNNNNNNNNNNNNNNNNNNNNNNNNNNNNNNNNNNNNNNNNNNNNNNNNNNNNNNNNNNNNNNNNNNNNNNNNNNNNNNNNNNNNNNNNNNNNNNNNNNNNNNNNNNNNNNNNNNNNNNNNNNNNNNNNNNNNNNNNNNNNNNNNNNNNNNNNNNNNNNNNNNNNNNNNNNNNNNNNNNNNNNNNNNNNNNNNNNNNNNNNNNNNNNNNNNNNNNNNNNNNNNNNNNNNNNNNNNNNNNNNNNNNNNNNNNNNNNNNNNNNNNNNNNNNNNNNNNNNNNNNNNNNNNNNNNNNNNNNNNNNNNNNNNNNNNNNNNNNNNNNNNNNNNNNNNNNNNNNNNNNNNNNNNNNNNNNNNNNNNNNNNNNNNNNNNNNNNNNNNNNNNNNNNNNNNNNNNNNNNNNNNNNNNNNNNNNNNNNNNNNNNNNNNNNNNNNNNNNNNNNNNNNNNNNNNNNNNNNNNNNNNNNNNNNNNNNNNNNNNNNNNNNNNNNNNNNNNNNNNNNNNNNNNNNNNNNNNNNNNNNNNNNNNNNNNNNNNNNNNNNNNNNNNNNNNNNNNNNNNNNNNNNNNNNNNNNNNNNNNNNNNNNNNNNNNNNNNNNNNNNNNNNNNNNNNNNNNNNNNNNNNNNNNNNNNNNNNNNNNNNNNNNNNNNNNNNNNNNNNNNNNNNNNNNNNNNNNNNNNNNNNNNNNNNNNNNNNNNNNNNNNNNNNNNNNNNNNNNNNNNNNNNNNNNNNNNNNNNNNNNNNNNNNNNNNNNNNNNNNNNNNNNNNNNNNNNNNNNNNNNNNNNNNNNNNNNNNNNNNNNNNNNNNNNNNNNNNNNNNNNNNNNNNNNNNNNNNNNNNNNNNNNNNNNNNNNNNNNNNNNNNNNNNNNNNNNNNNNNNNNNNNNNNNNNNNNNNNNNNNNNNNNNNNNNNNNNNNNNNNNNNNNNNNNNNNNNNNNNNNNNNNNNNNNNNNNNNNNNNNNNNNNNNNNNNNNNNNNNNNNNNNNNNNNNNNNNNNNNNNNNNNNNNNNNNNNNNNNNNNNNNNNNNNNNNNNNNNNNNNNNNNNNNNNNNNNNNNNNNNNNNNNNNNNNNNNNNNNNNNNNNNNNNNNNNNNNNNNNNNNNNNNNNNNNNNNNNNNNNNNNNNNNNNNNNNNNNNNNNNNNNNNNNNNNNNNNNNNNNNNNNNNNNNNNNNNNNNNNNNNNNNNNNNNNNNNNNNNNNNNNNNNNNNNNNNNNNNNNNNNNNNNNNNNNNNNNNNNNNNNNNNNNNNNNNNNNNNNNNNNNNNNNNNNNNNNNNNNNNNNNNNNNNNNNNNNNNNNNNNNNNNNNNNNNNNNNNNNNNNNNNNNNNNNNNNNNNGUUUGUUCAAUCAAAGGAUCAAUGGGCGGACAUCCUAACCAAAGCAGUAGCUGGACGAAUAUUCCAUGAGGUUUUGGGCAAGUUGGGUAUGCUAGAUCCACAUGAACCAACUUGAGGGGGAGUGUUGGAAAGAAUCCUCUGCCAUGAUUGUAAAUCAAUCAGUGUUGGAAAGAAUCCUCUGCCAUUAUUGUAAAUCAAUCAGUGAUCAAAUCUUACCAUGUUUAGUAUAGCACGAUUCUAGGACAUAAUUGAGGGCACAAUCAAAGGUCUAAUUGUUCAUAUUAUGUACUAUAUAAACUCUGUAACUUACUACACAAGAGGUAAGAAAAUAGAAGCAAAUUUCUUCCUAUAAUCUCAAUAGCAGGGUGGCUCUGAUACCAAUUGAAACAGCCGAACCCAAACUGACCCAAAUAACUUUUGGAUCAACUUUCCAUUUGGCUCAAAAUAGUUAGCCCAAGUUAUUUAGUAGUUUCGUGCUAGCUAUUAUAUACAAUUCCAAUUCUCCAUCAUCUUCCGAUGUGGGACAGUUUCCGCAUCGGAAGCAGGCAGCUGCCAAACUAGCCCAAAUAACUUUUGGACCCACUUUUCACUCGGUACAAAAUGGUUAAUCCAAAUUAUUUAGUAGUUUCGUGAUAGCUAUUAUAUACAAUUCCAAUUUUUCAUCAUCUUCCGCACUGCAAGCAGGCUGACCGUUACACUCGGUCCCGCUAAAUUUGUGACGUUCUCAUCACAACUGAAUCGAUUACAAUUGCUAACCAGGACCGGACCCUCGGGUAUUGUGGUUCGCUAGUAUCUCGGGCGGCUCCACUUCGUCUCUCACGGGUAGCCCUUUCCUUGCAAGCCCACUAGCUCCACAUAAUUUGUCUGACCCAAGGUGGCUCUGAUACCAAUUGAAACAGCCGGACCCAAACUAGCCCAAAUAACUUUUGGACCCACUUUCCAUUGGGCCCAAAAUGGUUAACCCAAGUUAUUUAGUAGUUUGCGCUAGCUAUUAUAUAUAAUUCCAAUUUUCCAUCAUCUUCCGCACCGGAAGCAGGCAACUGACCGUUACACUCGGUCCACUAAAUUUGCGACGUCUUCAUCGCAAUUAAAUCAGUUACAAUUGCUAACCAAGACCGAACCUUCGGAUAUUGUGGUUCGCUAGUACUUUAGGCGGCUCCACCUCGUCUCUCACGGGUAGCCCUUUCCUCACAGGCCCACUAGCUCUGCACAAGCAGGCAGCUGACUGUUACACUCGGUCCCGCUAAAUUUGCGACGUCUUCAUCGCAACUGAAUCGGUUAUAAUUGCCAACCAAGACCGAACCCUCGGAUAUUGUGGUUCGCUAGUACCUCAGGGCUCCACCUCGUCCCUCACGGGUAGCCCUUUCCUCGCAGGCCCACUCGCUCCGCACAAUUUGUCUGACCCAGAGUGACUCUGAUAUCAAUUGAAACAGUCGGGUCCAAACUAGCCCAAAUAACUUUUGGGCCCACUUUACACUUGGCCUAAAAUGAUUAGCUCAAAUUAUUUAGUAGUUUCGUGUUAACUAUUAUAUACAAUUCUAAUUUUCUAUCAAUCUUUCGAUGCGGUACGGCUUCCGCAUCGAAAGCAGCCAGCUGACCGUUAUGUUGUGGGGUACAUUGAUAAAAUAAUGACUUCAAAAAUUAUAAAUAUAAACCUGAAUUCCAUAAACACAUUGAGAUGCCCAUUCCCACGAUACAUGAUAGGCUUAUCACCAAGUUCCUGUCUUCUUCCAGCAACCAAGCAAUUGUAUGGACAACCACUGUGACAGUCCCACUGUUUCCAUUGCAGAUAGAGUGGUUCUUGAAGAUACCAUGGUCCAUCAAUAGGUUUUGCAUUAGAUAAGAAUUGACAAUGUUGGAAGGAUUUCUGACCCACACAUCCAGUUUUGUAACACUGCUCCAUGCCUAUAAACGAGUAACCAUUAAAAUGAUAGAAUAAUAACAGGUAACAAAAUCAAACAGCUAUGAUCAGAACCAAUAACAUCUCCUAAAUUAGUCAAUCGUCUAACACACCCUUGCUAAGUGGUUAUUUCAUCAUUACUCCCAAAAGGAAUAGCUAAAAACAGUUGAUUUGUCAAUCCACAAGCAAAGCUUCAAGCUUUGAAUUUCUACUAGAUUAAACUAAUCUCCUGGUUGUAUGGCCAUUCAACGACAAUGCAUUAAAACUAAGGGUUUCUAUAAAGUGAAACUAUCCAGAAAAAUCUGAUAACAAGAUUUCUUCCCCAUAUUAAAUACAGAAACCACGAACUUCAACGGAAUCUACAUAAGAAGCCACAACCAAGUCAACUGAAAUGCCUAAAUUUCUCGAUUCACAGACUGUCCGUCAACUUCAUGUUCCAGCCCAUCUACAUUCACAUUUUAUAAUUCAAAUUCGUAAUUAAUUCUCACGGUUUACAUUUACGCACAAAUCAAACUAGUGAGCCUUUCUAAUCCACCAACUUAAAAAAAGACAGCUAAAUUUAGCAGGCAUUUCCUUUCCACGUCUAUUUUUUAGGUAAUUUAAGAACUUGUGUUUACACCAGAAAUGCAGGAAGACAAUGUUCAAUUCGUCAAUCAAACAGUAGCAUCCUUCUAAAACUUAACUUACAUUCCAAAAAGCGUAUUAAGCUUUAAUUACGGAUGCAAAUACAUCAAAUUUAGAACCAAAAAGAUCACAAAAAAGUGGGGAAAACGACAUGAAAACGGGAAACCAAAGAUGAAGUAAGAAAAAGAGAGCUAGUUUACUUGUAAAGCGGAUCAGCAUCACCAGCACUAGCGUCAAGCGCACGGACUAAACAGACGAGCGAAAAAGAAAGCACAAUCCAAUGAUACACAGCCAUCCGAUUCAUUAAAAAAUAAACGGUAGCCACGGAGCUUCGGAUCAGGAUGUCAUGGAUAGGCUUCCAUGGAAUCAUAAAGACAAGAAAACAGACUAGGAUGAGGGUGUCAGCGCGAGCAAGUUUGAGUUGGAAUCAAAUAAGCGGAGCACAUGAGCUAGUAUCGAGUCGAUCUAUAUUUGGACUCGGGCACUCGGCACGACGGCACAGUUGGCGUGGGGGAUAGACAAGCGGACAGAAGAGGAGGGGACGAAAAACGAGCUACGGAUUAUCGAUGGCUGAUCGGGCUGACACCAGACUUUCGUGACAAGUUGAUCCUUGGGGCGAUUCACGAGGAGACACGUAGAUGUAUUUUCUUGUGAUUGAUUUACCGAAAUGCGCAGCAGUGACUAUUCAAUAGUCUUCGUCCCUUUGAAAUGUACAUACUCUCGUAAUUUUCGUUCGUCUCUGCCUUUUUAAGUGUCUUUAAAAUAUUGUUUGUUUUUUCUUACGGUAAUUAUAUUUUUUUUAAUUUUAAUUUAUUUUUUUUAAAAAAAUUUCAAAAUAUUUUUUUAAUUUGAAUAAAAUUUAAUAUUUUUAUUAACAAUUUAAUAUUAAUUAUUAUUUUCUCUUUUUUAAUUGAAUUAAUUAUUAAACCCUUCCACUAAUAGCACGAAAAGUGCUGCUCUAACCAGUUUCACUCUUUCUGCCAAUCAUGUCUUUUCCCGCCAUUUUCACUAUCUUCUGUGAGGUGAUGGAGCUCCAAAAUCUCACAAUUUCGUGCUCUUGCAUGUCCGGGUACCGAUUUUUAUGGAGCCCGAAGAAAAGGCCGCGGCGAGGAAUAGUAGUCAUGGAAAUUCAUAAGUUGGGGCUUUUGCUUGAGCAUAAGCUGAGGCUUGGGGUUUCGCUUCUUAUCUCGUUUGUUGCAAUAUUUGUACCUUUUCGACGCCCUUAUUUGACGGUACGAUUUAAAAGUUGAAAACUGGUGUUAUUACUCUCUUGUUUAUUAUGCUAAUCAGCAGAAUAUCGUGUAAUGUUUUAAUUACUUUACUAUUGCUUUAAUUUAGUCCUUCUUUGGUGCCACCCCGAUAUUUUGAAGUGCUUAUAGGCGUAAGGCCAGACUCUCGGUGGAGGCUGCUUGGCAAGGUUGGAUUUUUAACUCUCGGUGGAGGCUGCUUGGCAAGGUUGGAUUUUUAAAGUCAUUGGAACCAAUUUUUCUCUGUGAUUUCACUGUUGGAGAUAAGAUGCUAAAAGCUCAUAUUUUCAGAUGGGUUUUGAUUCCGAAGGUAGAAGCUUAUUGAGUGAAUUAAUUAACUUUCUGAACAUGGUAAUCUAAAGUUAAAUGCUUUUUUGGCAUGUGUUCUUGUUUCUUUUUGGGUUUAUGCUGGCAGAGUUUUUAAUUGAUAUAAGGUUUUCUCCGUUAAUUGCGAACUUAAGAGUAGUAUUUCUUAAGAACUUGCGUACCAGUACAUGAUUGACAUUGAGUUAAGGCCUUUGGGAUUAUUAAUCUUUUGCAGGUCGGUGAACUUAGUGCUUUAUGACAUCUGAUUUGGAAUCUAUUAUAGAUGAAAGGGAUUGCUGGUUUAAGGUACUUCUUUUUUUUUUUUUCAAGGUAAGCCAUUCUAUUCUGGAGCAAAAGUGAGCUUUAUAUUGGGGACUCAUGUUGCUAAUGGUCUCUGUUCAGGUGGCAUUCACAUACCUGAAAAAAUGUUGCCCCGUAUUGAUACAAUAAGAUUACUUUUCAUAUGUCUACCUAUGAGAUUUCCAUCUAUGAUUCUACUGCCGGAAGCUGCUGAUGUCUUGGAUAUAUGCAUAUUUUUUGCUCUUGCCCCAACUGGCAUCAAUGCUGGACUUGCAGAUUCUGAGUUUGUCUGUUUUAGUUGGUUUAGUAUUUCGUCUUAUAUCACUUCUUCUACUGUCUUUAUUCUGUAUCUAAUAUAGUCUACACAAUGAUAAAUUAUCUUAUAAAUGUUUUUGAUUGAUAAUUUUAGCAUUCUAAUUUGACUACUAUAUAUUUGUUGUCACAUUGUACACAUGCUGGAGCCUCAUAAAUUUCAGGGUGUAGCAAGGCCUAUAGUAUAUGUUCAUUAUUUCUCCUAUUGUCAUCAUUUCACAAACAUUUAUCGAGUAACCAAACUGGAUUACCUUGUUUAUACUCCAACUAGGUUGUCAGUUAACCAGUUACCCCGCUGGUUCAUGCCAGUUCACUCUGAAUUCUAAAGAAGGGUUUGGAUUGUUAAACUGUACUAGACCGCGCUCUGAUUCUUGAUUAACCGUGUCCAAUCCGGGAUUAACAACACUAUCCAGUUGUUCUCUUGCCAAACUGGCUCUUGGAAGGAAGAAAUGGGAGACGGCUACUUUCAGUUCUUUGGUCUAUAUUCCUUGAUGUUUUGGGAAAUUCAUUCAUUUUAUACUUUUUUCGUUGACUUGUCUAGAAUUUUGUAGCAUUACCUUGAAAGCAAAAGGGGGCACAUAUGAUGCUCUGCUUAAUGAUUUUUCUUCAAGAUAGAUUUUCUAUUUUUGUUUCUUCCUGCCUUGUUUCAUUUAAUGUUCACUUUUCAUCUAUUCUAAUUAUCUGAGCAAGUUUGAUAAUUUUGGAUAACUUCGUAACAAUAUGCAAGACAAUUGAAACAUGGAGUGACCACUGCCUUCUCUUGCUCUGUGCAGAGACACUAAUGAGUACCAUUUAAACAAGUGGAAACCAAGCAAUAUUUUCUUUCUUUUUGCUAAAUUACAGUUCAUAGGUGUGUAUAUAUAUAUUUAGUACAUGAUGCUGCCCAAUGUGCCGUUGAAGCCAAAAAUUUGUGAAACAAUACUACUUUAUUGAUAGUUAUCAAUUUCUAGACAACUGGUGUUUCUUUAUUUAAAUGUUAAUUUAUAACAAGAUAUGAAUUCUGUAAAGCCUUUUAUUUAUAAUAGAUAAUUGUUUUGCCAUUUUAUCUUUAAUCUAAGAUAAGCAUGUGAAUCAACAUUGUACCUAGAUGUUAUUGAUGCUGAGAUGCUACAGGACAUUUUAUUCUUCUAUAUUUUUUCUUCAUAACAGGCUUUAUGUCUUUGCAAGUAUUGAGAGGGAGAUUUCUUGCAUCAUCGAGAAGUAGGAAAGGAAAUUUCAGCUUUGAGGUUGGCAAGGCAUUCAGUAGGAAGACCAAGGAAGGUGUUCAUGAAAACAUCAUCAAUUGGUUGGACAGUUGCCACCCCAACCAAUCUGCAUUUCCCUUCUCUAUCCAACCUUUCUCCUCGUCCACUGCGUAUCACUCCAUUUGAUUCUUCUGAUGUCAAUACUGUCUUCACUAGCAGGGGAGGAGCUUUGUAGAUAUUCCCAACAGAAAACCAGAACUUGGCCAUGAACUCAAGAUCAACCUACAAAACAUGGACAGCAAAAGUCGGCAUUAAUUGGCGGGCUUCUGGAAUCCAAGAAUAGUGGAUUAGCAAGUAGCAGUAACAUAUAUAUCUUGCGGUUUCAAUCUGUUCUGCAUAAGGAUGUUGUUUUUGAAUUUAGCAUAUCAGAAUGAUUCCGGUGGUGUCAUGGAAGGUGCUCACUUUAUGUAACUUCCUCAAAGAAGAAGCCUUGGGAAUGAAGCUGAGUAUCAGAAUUUACCUUACCAGAAUCUCGUUCAAUCCUUCCUUGAAAGAGUUCAGGCACCACAUCAAUCUUCAAACCUGGUGGCAAUGGCAAUCCAAGAAACCUAGUAGUUGCACUUGUUAGUGGUGGAAUAUACAGAGUUUCCAAGUCAAACGAAACUGAAAUCUCAUCUUUCAGGUCACCCUUUUUAAUUCUGGUAGCAGUCCCAGAUCCUGUUCCUCCUUGAGCAUCGUAUUCAAAGUCAGGAUAUCUUGAGAUGCCAAGCUUGCAAGCUUCCAAAGUUUUGAAAUCAACAGUGUAAGUAUCAGUUUUUGGGAGUGUGGUGGUAGAAAUGGAACCCUGUUGGUUGGGAAUAGAAGAUAAUGCAAUGGUUUUAAUUCUAAGAGCUGGUUUCCUUGUAGAAAAUUUGCACAGGAUUGGGGGAUUUGAAGUGUGUAUCCUGCAACCCAUUUUCUGAAAAGUUGGCUUUCGAGUUCUACCCAAAUGCAGAGGAAGAGGAAUCGAGCUUUUGGCACUAGACUUGGGGUAUUAGAUGAGGCUCUGCUUCCAGUCUUUCAGAAAUCGUACACAUGAUGAGAGGCUGGUAUGUCUUCUGAAUUUGGUCCUUAUCUUCAUAUUUGGGGUGAUUUUACUACUGUGGCGUAUUGGCCGUGAAGAAAAGAAAAUUUAUAGUUAUUCCAAAAAUUGGCAAUUUUUAGUGGAAGGCUAUUUCCCAAAAUUUGUUAUCAUUGCGGUCUCGUACAUGUAAUUAUAUCGUUUUUCACUAAAUAAUCCUCAUAAUUAUUUGCCCUUCCACACUGCUGUUCUCCUACUCCCUCUCCAUAAUCCAAAAAUAUACCUCUAUUAUUAUUUGCUUUUCAAUGAAGUUAAUGGAAUUAAUUUAACAUUUAAGCAAUAAAAUUAUAUUUUUUUCAAAGUUCAUUAUGAAUAUAGAGAUAAAAAUAUAUUGAUAUAUUAAAAUAAAGAUUAAAAAGAAAAGGAAAGUUUUGAAGAGUGAAUAAGGAAAAUAAAAACGACAAAGAAAUUCACCAAAAUUGGAAAUUUUAAAUAUGAAAAAUUAGGUCUAUUUUUUUUAAGAAAAAUGUGUGGAUUUGAGAAAGAAGAGAAUUUAAAAUUUUUAAUUUUUUUUAAAAAAAAAAGAGGCAACAUUUUUUAAUUAAUUAUUUCAAAAUUCAUUAUGAAAUACAAAUAAUAAGUAAACACUUUUAUUUAGUCCUUUCAAAAUUUAGGUUUCGAUUAAAAUAAAAUUUUAUUAUUUGAAUAUAAUUAGGUGAAAAUUAGUAAGAUACGAAAAGUUUUAAAUUUAAAUGUAACAAUUUAAAUUUAAAUCUAAAUACACCAUAUGUACAGAAAAAAAAAAAAAAAAGAAAAGAAAAGAGUAGAAAAGAGAAUUUCCGUAAAUAGAUUAAAGAUUUGGCUACUCGCCAAGAGCCAUACACCGGAGUUAUUAUUAUUACUUUCUAACAAAGAAAUUGGCGCUUGUUGCGUCUGAAAUUCUACUACCACUUAUGCAGAGUGUACCAUCCACAUGACACGAGUUCACUUCUUACAGCGCCCCCUUGGAAUCGGGCACGUUUACCAACAGCCAACACGUGUUUUCAGACUUCAAUAAUCAAUCCCCAUGUCGUGGAGGCAUCGUGUUUGUCAAAUAGUUAAUGAAAGAGAAAACUCAUCCUCCAUGGCAGCCCAAGUGCCUCACCGUCAAAUCCAUGAUGGGAUAGCCAAGCAAUUUUCAUCCAAAAUAUGUAUUUAUACCGAAUUAAAAUUAAAGUUAAUUGAACAUUUAAAUCAAUUAGUCAUGUCAUGGAUAAAGGCCCCUCUCCACCCUUUUCGAUUUCUCACUAAUCCACAUGAGAACUCUAUUCAUUUGAAAUGCUAAAUUAAAAUUCAAGUAGCUCAGUUUUACAAGAGAGAGAAUGAGAUUUCAAAUAACACGGAUAAAAGUGUGAAAGAAGAUUUACAAUUUUUAAAUAUUAAUGCAAUAUAAUCAAUUUUAAUUAGUUUAAAAAUAGAAAUCUUAAUAUUAAUUAUUAAAGCUCAAGAACAGAAAAGAUGCGUGUUAACCAUCAUGAAAAUUCAGUCUUAGAUACAAGGCAGAAGCCUAUGACUAGCAACUUGUUGCUCUUCCAACCUAGUAGUGCAUAAACUGAAGAGGACAAAAAUAUAUACACUCAAAUCACACCACCCUUUGAAGCUUGCCUAGGACUUGCCAUCAUGAUUCAGCACAACAGGGCAAACAAAACACAUUGGCUUGUAGAAACAAGUGUGGGCAUGCCAUUUUCCUCCAUCUCAGUCAUCCAUCAGAGAGCCUCCAGUUUCAUUCUGUACUCUAGCUUCAGGUUGCCAGCCAGCCAGCCCUCUCUUUCAAGUUUCAACAGACAAGAGAAGAGCAGUUGGAAGAUGCAUGCAUGAUGCCCGUCGGAUAACUGACUCGCUCACCAUCAAAUCGAGUUGCUCGCCCUCACCAAGACCAAUUGUACGGUUCCUCUUACUGUGCGUGCCCAUCCUGGACUCUAUGGCUCCUCCUGACCUCUUAGCGUCCGCUGGCUUCUGUUCCAUUUCUCUAGCCUCAUGUGCGCAGAAUAUAGAAGAUUCAGGCAACAUGAGCAUCUUUUCCAGGCUGACCUCUGCAUGAUAGAAUGUUAAAAGAUUUAAUUCUAUAACAUCAUUAUAAAUAAGCUGUCAAAUAAAUGAAAAUAGCUCACCUCCAUAGCUAGCAUUCAAACUGGAAAUAUUGUUUGAGAAAUCCAAUGCACAACUCCCUUGCUUCGUCACAGGGCUAUGGCUAAAGAAAGCAAAGCUUGGCAUUGAUCCUACAGGGGAAGGAAAUUCCAAGGCAUCAGAAUUGCCACCGUUAUGGAAAGAAAGCUGACCAGAUACAGAGGAAGGUGUUGAAGGUUCCGCAUGGAAAGAAGAAAAUGAUGAUCUGCAUGUGAAAGUAGGUGAUUCUGUAUCACAAACAAACGGUGAUCCAGUGCCAAUGCUGAUGUCCUGAUUCCUGGCCAUCAAUGUAGAGAAAGAGCCACCACCUAAAUCCCAUUCUUCACAACUUUGCUUUUCAAAAUGACUAGGUUGUACAGGACAUAUUGCAUCAUCCUUCAUCCAGGAAUGAUCUGCAAAAAUAAUUAAGUUUAGGCAAGUCUUUGGAAAGAGGCUCAGUUAUCUUGUAGCAGGUAAGAAAGGAUACACUCAUGCAGAUUAGCUCAUUAGAAAAACAUAGUGGUGAAAAUUUCUUGACUGCAGGAUGCUCCAGCUUUUGCUAAAAACCAUUUAAAACAUAAAUGAACUUGUCCAUUCUAAAAAUUCAGUGGAUGAUAUGAUGUCCUGAAUUUUUCAAUAGCUAGCAGCAUCAGUUACCUGUUAAUUAUCUAGCUCUGCACAUACCAUAAGCCUUCAGAUACGUAUGUGCACCAGAAUACAUAACAAAAUGACCGAGUAUAACACAGAAAAUAGGUAAAUUUUCCAGCAAAUGAAAAGACAAACCCACCUAAAACCUGCUGAGCAGUAAGCCUUUGUGAAGGAUCUGUACAAAGCAUGCCCCUGACUAACUCCUUUGCAGAUUCAGUUAUCUGAUCCCAAGGAUUAGAUGGGAAUCGCAGAUCUGCAGCCCUUACAGCAUCAAAUAUUUGUGACUUAGUCUUGCCCCAAAAGGGUGGUGUCCCACUGAGAAGAAUAUAAAGAAUCACCCCUGCACUCCAAACAUCGGCCGCCUGAUUAUAGCCCCCUGCCAAUACCUCCGGGGCUAUAUAAAAUGGGCUCCCAACAGUCCCACGCAACUUCUGACCUAUUUGAACAUAUCCCAGAUGUUUAAAAGACCAAACAAGUCAAACUUUGGAAAACAUAGCAGUCAACAAAAACAACUACAUGAUGAAUAGAGGGAAAGAAUGAGACAUGGAAGAAUACCAGGGUUUAUGUACGUUGCAAGACCAAAAUCUGCCAGUUUAAUAGGUGAAUAUGAGGCUUUUGUAGCCAAAAGAAUAUUCUCUGGCUUCAAAUCCCUGUGAACCACCCCAAUUUCAUGACAGUGCAGCACCACUUGCAUCAAAUGCCUGAAGAGAACCCUAGCCUCCACCUCAGAGAAUCGUCCAUGCUUUUCUAACUGGUGAAAAAGCUCCCCUCCAGCACAAAGCUCCAUUACCAAAUGAACAUAAUCCUCAUCCUCAUAAACUGCCUUGAGAUCUACGACAUUUGGGUGCCCGGAUAGCCUAGUCAUUAUCUCAAUCUCAAGUCUGACACUUCUAGCAUCAUCUGAGGUCACUAAUCUAUCCUUGGCAAUCGAUUUGCACGCAAAUAGCUCUCCAGUCAAUUUAUCAGUGCACAUUCUAAUAACACCAAAUUGUCCCCAGCCCAGCUGCUCUCCAAGAAUAUACCUAUCCUUCAUAUUUGAAAUCUGAAUUGCGUCCAAAAUGGUUUGAGUUAAGCUUGAAAAUGUGUAACAAUUGCACGGUUGCUUCGACAAGUCGCGGCUGCUGUCUCUAUUUGCAAGUGCAAGUGCAACAGCCAUACCAAAUUCUAUCUGUCCCUAUUGACCUCGUUUCUUUUUCUAACAAAAUAAUAAAAUAUCUACAAUUUCAAGUUAAAAGCCUUGAUUUUUUGCUCACGUAACCAAUCACCAAAAACUUACUUGAGGCCAAAUCCUAAAAGAAGCUUCUCAAGGGCGAUUUUGACAGGAGACAGUAACACCGUGAUACAUCCGAUAUCAUGUAUCUGGAAAUUUUGGUACUAGAGAGGAAAAAUAAAAACUUAACAGCGGCAGAAGCUUGAUAAUUCAGCUCGAAAUUUCUUCCAAUUUCUGCUAGAUCUGAAACCAUAAAAUUAUAAUUUUAUUUUUUUAAAAAAAUUAAACUCGAAUCAAAUUAUGCGAGAUGCAAACAAAACGACAAAAAGUGUCAGAUAUACAUAAUUUCUGUAUAACUUUGUGGGUUUAAUAAAAUCUCCAAGCUAAUAUAUUGAAAAUUCCAGUUUUCUAAAGCAAGCCAACAAUGAAAAUGAAUCACCUUCACAUACCCAUCAGCUAAACUCCCAAAUAUGAAAAGAAUCAAUUACCUGAAAACAAGGCCACCCAGAUCACAAAGUUUUCAAUAAACAAUGGUUAUUGCCAAUUACAAGCGAUCCCAAAUCCCCAAAAUCGAAAACCAACGUGGAAUGAUCUUGUAGAGAGAGAUGACCCGGUAAGCGACAGAGAGGAGGGCGAGAGGAGGAGUCCGUUGGAGCAGCGAUUGAGCUACCCAAGACAGAGGCUCCUUUCCCUGUGGGCUCUCUAUCGCCUAUAGUUCUCUUCAUUGGCAAAACUAUUAGGACUUUUAUUGUGUUUUGCUGCUUGGUCGGGGCUUAUUUUGGCUAUUCCUUUUUUAAUUAAUAAAAAUUGACUGCAAGUGCUGAGAAUGUUUUUUUCUUUUUGGUUGUUCCCCAUCGAAUCACAGUACCAUUUCCUAAAACAAUCUCACUCGAACUGAUUUUCUUUCGCCCUCCUUUGAAUUUGCCAAUAACAACUCUAACUUCUCAAACAGUGAUUUUUCCAUCCAACUAUAAUUUCACUUCCUUUUUUCAUAUUCCCUUUGUCGUUUCUUGUAGCUCAGGUCAGCAAAUUGCAUCUUUGUGUGUUUAUUUGCAAACGUGUAAAACUCCCUAAACCCUAAGUCAAUUCUCUGCAACUCAUUCAAAUUACAAAUACAAUUAAUUUCUUCCUCGAUUCAUAGCCAUUGCAAAUCUCUGUAAAAUUCUUAGAUAUUUACAAUUGGUAGUUAUAAUUAAUUACAAAAUGUUUGAUAACUCAUAACUCUGCAAUCAAGUUACCUAUUACUCUCUCGUAUUUGCUUGCUUUUUUAAAUUUUUUUUAUCCAUCACUUUGCUUUCAAAAUACUCCUUUGAAAAGUUAAAAUUUAGUAAUUCUAAAAAUAAUUUAUUAAUGGAACAAUUUUAGUAGAGAAUAUAUUAAAAAGUGCAUUAUAAAAUUUAGGUAAAAGGAUUUUUAAUCUGAUAAAUUUCAAAAUAGACAUAUAAAUUUUUAAUAAAUUUUUAAAUAGUUAUAUAAAUUCAUAAUAAAUUUUUAAAUAGUCAUAUAAGUUUUUAAUAAUUUUUUUAGUUUAAAAAAGUUCCUUACAGUGUGGAAUUAAAUUAUAUAUAGAUAAUUUAAAGCAAUUAAGAUAUUUUGUUAAUCAUGUGAUGUGAAUUACAUAUGUUUAAUGCCGUAAAUUUAAUAUUAGCUCAUUCUCUUUUUUUUUUUUUCUCUAGUUUUUUUAAAAGUUGUUCGAUCAUCUCUCUCUUUCUUUUUCACUCGAAAAGUUAAGGAUUAUAAGAUUGGUAGAUUCAAUCAUUUAAUUAUAAAAUUAAACUUACAAUAUUGAACUCUUAUUACAAUUUCAAAAGACUAUUAGAGAAAGCAUGAAUCGCCACCUUUUGAUUUUUAGUUUUGGAGGAAAUAUGGACAAAAACCUAUUUAGGGAUCUCUUUAUCUAAGAUUAUUUAAUUUUUAUUUUCUUUAAAUAAUCUCUCUUAUCCAGCUAAUUAACUUAAUUCUUGAUUUUGCCAAAAAAAUCUUGCUACAUCAUUGUUUUUCAUGAUUUUUGCUUAACACACAUCAAGAGUUGUCACUAGAAGAAUUCCAAAUACAAUCUACUCAUAAAUCUCAUCUUACAACUCUAAAACAAGAACGACAAGAAUAGGAAAAUCAGAAUUAGAAUCAUUCUACCAUUGCGACCAGUCCAAAAGAUGAUAUUUAAUGCCACAAUUUUCACUACUUACAAUUUUCAAUAAAUUAUUCUAAUGAUAUCAUGAUAAAUCAAGAAGAUUCUUUCACUUAAAAUACCACAUAACUUAUCCCUUCUUCUUUUACUUCAAUACUCCUGUUUUAAUUCGUCUUAAAGAGAAAAAUCUCAUCUAUAUAAUGAUAGAGUGUAACGGUAUUUAACGAUUUGGUUUAAUCUGACCUUACUGUCUAAUUAGGGACUUUUUGAACAAAAAAAUUUACUAAAAACUUAUAUGACGAUUAUGAAAUUUAUCAGGUGCUCAAAAUGGCAUUUUACCUAAAAUAUAUUACUUUUUAACUAUAGUAAUUAUAUUUUAUGAAUUCAUGCGAAAUUCCACUUCCUAAUCCCCGUGUUCACAGGAUUUACAUUCCCAUUAACACCAUUUAAGUUUGGUGCUCUACUCUAUAAACCUGUCAUCAAAUGCAGACAUAGCUUUCCUAUAUGCUAUGGGACAUAUGGACUGAGUAUACAAGAAAAGCCAUUUUUUUCUUAUUCCAGUUUGGGCCCGAUAGAAAAGAAAUCCAUGCACAGUCAUAUGAAAAGCGAGGCAAAUAAUCUAGAAAUGGGCCUAUAAAAUGCUUCGGCUCACAAUAUUAGGCAUCAAAUUAAUGCCCCAUUCCUAUGCACUCUCUUGGUCUAUGAAUUACCCACAACAACUACUACAUCCAUACUCACCAAUAUUCAUUUAAUAAUUUUCAAAAAUUCUACAUGUUGUACAUGUUUGAGAUUGCUGACUCACAAUACUUAACUUCGCUACUACAAAUUAAUGAAUAAUACUUUUAUUUAUAUUACUCAUUUCAUAUAAAAAAUAAAUCAAAUUAUGAUAAUUUUAUUUUUUUUAAAUAAUUUAUAAAUAUAAAUAUACAAUGGUGUAUACAGUGAUUAUAUGAUAUUGAAUAUCUAAAUCAUAUACUUUGUAUUUAUUGUAUGAAUUUUUUUAAUAAUAGCAUAGAUAGUUCAGAAUCCCACAUUGAAUAUAGAAUGUGUAUGAGCAAAACUCAUAUAGAAUCAAUAAUUUUAUUAAAAUUAUUAUGGUUUUGAAAAUAAUUCAGUUCUAUUUUUGAGUCUAAUUCUUUUGAAGCAUACUCUAGAUUAAUCUUUCGAGAUUUUAUAUUGAUUGUGAAAUAUAUAAUCAUAUAGAAUCAAUGACUUUAUUAAAAUGAUUGAUUUUGACGACGGUCUAAUUUUAUAUUUAAAUUUAAUAUAUGUAUUUUAUAUCGAAUAAAAUAAUAAUAAUAAUUUUAUAUAGGUAUAGUGCUUUUUUUUUUUAUUUCUAAUUCCUAAUAUGAAAUAACCAAAUGUCUUCUUUUUCGCCUUAGCAAGACCCUUCUGACUUGCAAUGUACGAACUAAUAUACUGGAGGAUAUGAGAAAUUAUUAUAAUUAACUAAGGCUGAAAAUGAUAGAAGAAAUAAAAUAGAAUCGGUCAAAAUUUGGUAACUGAUGGAUACUCAAAUCACGCGUCAGAAUGGGCAUGCAAACUACAGUCCAACUUAGUUUUAUUGUGAAAUAAAAAUACAUUUCCUUUUUUUUAUAUUAUAUUAUGAUUAAUAUGCUUUUUAUUUCUUUAUUUUAAAAAUUAAAAAAAUUAAGAAAAAUAGGUAAAUAAAAAAAUUUCUAAGAGAGAGAGAUAAAAGGAGCAUGCGAAUAUGUUGUUUUAGGAGAAAGAGCAUUGAUUCUCAUAGAUUUUAGCUACAGAAAAAAAGAAUGGUGUAUGCACUCACUUCCAAUAAUUCUAGGCAUUAUAGAAAAAAAGAAAUGUGGUGCAAAAUGACUUGGAUAAUAAAAUGACACUUGGUGUAUUCCUAGCAGCCAAUAAAUUAACAAUAAUUGGUGAUGGUUUUGAUUUGAUUCAAUAUGUUGGGUGUCAAUUAUAGUGGAAUGUGGCUUAAGAGAUUAUCAUUAAAUUUAAGAACCAUGGAUGCCCACUCACAAUCAAACCAUCAUUAUUUGUCACUAAUUCUUUACUGAUUUUUAUCUUCUUUACUCAUUAUAGAUUGACAUGACACAGUUUUUUUUGGUUUCCCAGAUAAUACUCGACUUCACAAUUCCUUUAGAAAAAAUUUUAACCUAACAAUUGGCUAUAGUGUCCGACUAAUUCAAAAUUUCAAUCACAUUAAGUUUGGUGGUAUAAUAUAAGAAUAUCUUUAAUGAAAUCAAGUUUAAUUUAUUAUUUUUAGUCUAACUUAAUUUGAUUUAGUAAUAAAAAAUAUAUAAUUCAUUUAAUAGAAUUAAAUUUAAAUCAUCAACCUUCAUCCAUUAUGCUUUGGUGGAUGUGGGGUGAGGGCAGGGGAAGGUUAAGUAGCUCGCAAAAAUAAUUAAGGUUGUUAAUUACGGCCUUCGUAAUUAAUUAAUUACUUGCCAAACUUUUUUUUUAAGGAGUACUUACCGAAGCUUGAUAAUUAAACAAAAGGCAGGUCCAAAAGAUACUUAAUUUAAUUGUUGACUUGGAUUAAGUUUUGUAAUUAAUUAAAUUAAAUUGAUAUGACAUGUGAAUGAGAUAUUAAUGAAUGUAAUGUUUCUUAAAUAUUUAUUUUCGUAUUAAUUAUAACAUUCGUACAAUUUUUAUUUAUCAUUUAAAAUUUUAAUAUAAUGAUUAAAAAAUAUUUAAAUAUUAUAAAUUAUAAUAAAAUAACACUUAAUUUAAUUAUAAAUUACUUUUCAUCUCACUUAAUUAUUCCUAUCUUAAUUUUUUUUUUCAUUUACUUAUCAAUAAAACAGUAAAAUAAAUAAGAGAGAAAAAAAGUAAAUAAUGAUAUAAGUGUUAAGAAAUUGAUUAUAAAUAUUAUUAUUGUAUUUAGUAGAGAUAAAAAUAAAAUUGAAAAAACAAAUUAAUACUCAUUAACUUUUUUUAAAGCAGAAAGAUAAUUUUAAAUAAAUCAAAAGUUAAAAAAAAUUAUUGGUAAAGGUGAAAGAACAUAAUUCCUUUGACACACUUUAGCAUGUUAUCUUAAUUCUUAACUAAUACUCUUAAAAUAUUGCUCACUGGCAGCCUUACUCCUCGGAUCAGUUAAAUUCAAAGCUUUGCAUAUCAACCUUCACACUCUGUUUAUUCAGUUUUUAUAAUUAACCCUCAUCACAUAACUAAGACUUUUUCUUGAAGAUAGAAUAUAUAAUUUCCUUAUUUAUAUAUAUAUAUAUAUAUAUAUAUAUAUAUAUAUAUUGAGAAUUAUUAUUCAUGGAAGAUAUAUGGGAAUGAGAAUUGAAAACUGGAAGCAGUCUUUUAACGCUGGUGGCGGUGAAUGGAAAAUGAUAUGUGGUCUGGGUCCUCCGGGAGGUUUUUUUUUCUUUCUUUGACCAUAUAAUAAAUUUGCAAUUUAAAGAUUUAAUGGUAUAAUUACAGAAGAGAGCGACAUUUAAGAACUAAAAACAUAAAAUACAAAACUCAAUAAGAUAUAAAAAUUAAAAUAAAAUAAAAUCAAAAUAAUAAAAUCGAACCGAUAAUAACACGCAGAGUUAAACUAUAGAAAUUCAAGAAAAAAUUAUAAACAGACAGCCAAAAUGAUUCAAAUUCUAAACAGAAAUCGAGGCAAACAAAUGAAACCCUCGAUCGAGGGUGCGCCUUUUAUCUCCCUCUAUCUUUCUGUCUUCCUUCCUUAUGAGCUUUGAUUUUUAGGAGGUUUACUUAGUACAAGCUUGUAUAUAGUUGCAGGAGUGACUCAGUCAGCUGGUCCAAAUUCCAAGUGCGAGAGGUCCCCUCCGCAAUAGUUUUGGCAUGCUAACAAUGCAUUCAAAAGCAAAAAGUGUUCACUCCUUUUUUGUUUUUUCCGUUUACCCCACCUCCUGAUUUGAAAUUAAUUUGAACAAGUCUAGUUGUAUAGUUAAGCUAAAUAAAUUAAAUCAAUACUAUCAAUGCAGCAAACCUUUUACAUAUAAAUUUAUCAAUAUUUAUUUUUUUAACAUUACAAUAACUAAACAUUAAAAAUAAAAAAAAUAUUUGUUGAAUAAAAUAUUUUUUAUAUAUAAAUUAUUUUAUGUAAAUAAAUUAAAAAAAAUGAUUAAAUUACAGUGAAGUGGAUUGAUUUAAUUUGAUAAGAUAUAGAUAUAAUAAUGUCAUUCAAAAGGAGGAGGAGAAGAAAAUAGGGUAGCUAGUCGCUGGGAGGUGGUGGGUUAGUGGGAGUGGGAGUGGCUGGGUGGUUAAGCUGUGUUGAUGGUUACAGUUUUUCAAAGGUAGUGAGUGGGAAGGCUGCUACUUCUUCACGCAAUUAGCCCACUCUUUGCAUUCACACCUCCCUACCGUAAUCCUUCCUAAUUUUCAUUCUCCAUGCUAACUUCCUAUUUGCCCCCUCACUCUCACUUUUUUUUACCCAAAAUGCCCUUUUCUUAUCAAGUGAUUUGAAUAAUCUUUACUCGUAUAUGUACACCAUCUCCAAAGCAGAAAAAAGCAUAACAGUGGAGCUUGGAAAAUCAUGCACUUGUUUUGGAGGCUUUCUGUAUUGGGGAAGGUUUUUUUUUUGAUAAAUAAUUCAAAAUUUUAUCAUUAAUUAGCUAUUAGAUACCAGGUACUUGCAAUUGCUAAAAAUGUCAAAACAAAAUUCAAAAGAAGAUCCUACAAAACUCAAACAAAUUAAGGCUCAUCUACUUAACCAAUUAGAAUAUUAUAAUCCAAAUGUACACUUAAAAUCGUAUUUCUAUAAUUAUAUUUUUAUUUUUUAAUUGCUAUUAAAGUAAAUUAUACUGCUAGCCUCAUUUAACUGAAAUAACUUAGAUAAAAAAAAAAUUAAAAUUACAAAAAAAUUAAUUACAUCAAGAUCAUCUUCAUAAUAUAAUUAAGAUCAUGACAAAAAGAUGAGAAAGACAAAAAUAGCGAUCAUACUAGACUUUUGAUCCCAUGAUUUCCCAUGUAAUAAAAACAAUAUUAUAUAUUGAUAAAUAAUGAUCAGCUCACCUCUUCCGCAACCAAUAAUAUAAAACCUAAUUCUUAUAAAAAUAAAAUAAAAUAUUAUAUCUGUAGACCAUAAAAAAUAUAAAAAUAAAAAGGCCUUCUUGGUAAUUUGACGACUCUUGUAACAUUUCAACCAUUAAUAGCCAAUUCACACGUCGCCUUGUCGUUGAACCCAACUUCCUCCCGUCUCAAACUUCCAAAUUCAAAGACCUAUUUCUAUCUCAACUAUGACUCUACAAAUACCCAUAUAUAAAUACAUGUAUGUUUAACUCAAAUACGCACUCCACCGAUUUCUAGCUAUUUUCAGGUUUCUAUAUUACCUCUCUGUUCCAUCUCACCCAAAAACCCACCUCUCUUUUCUAUCUCAUAUACAAAGAUAUGGCUUCGAUUUACAGAAAGCAAACCAUCAAGGUCUCAAUAUCCAUAAUCGAUGCAGUGCCGUUGUACUUUGCCAUAUUCAUACUAGGCCUAAUAUUGUUGGCGUCUAUUAGAGAGAGUUCUUCCACGAGUGAGCCUGUUAAAGGGAACCUGCUUCUGGGCCGACCUUGCGAUGAAAUAUACGUCGUUGGAGAAGGGGAGACCCUGCACACCAUCAGCGACAAGUGUGGCGACCCGUUUAUCGUUGAGCAUAACCCGCAUAUACAUGACCCAGAUGAUGUUUUCCCCGGACUUGUGAUCAAGAUCACUCCUUCCAAGCCGAGGAAGUUGUCGAGGUAGUUUACGGAACAGAACUGGAUAUGCUCGGUUCAUGUAUAUAUACAUCGGACACCAAAGAUAAAAACUUUGCCAUGGUUAGUUAGAGUGGACAUGUUCUUCCUUAAGAUGGAUAGGCCGUUUUAAGUUUUCGUCUGGGAUAUAUUUAGGUUACUGUUUGAUCAGAGAAGUUGAGGUCUUUAAUUUUGUUUUGUAAUUACUUUAGUUUCUUGUGGGAUACUUACCUCUACCAGUUUGUAGAGGAAGGAGAAUAAAUAUCCCCUAGAGAAUCUCAACUCUUUUUCAGUUGCUUGAACUUUUCCUUAUUUUGGGGUUUUAGCCAUACAUGUGUUUAUGCUAUAGUUCGUACAUGAUUUUUUGGUCUUUCGUCCAAACAUAAAAAGUCACAAAGUCUCAAAAGAUGCAGAAUUCCUGUUUCAUGAAGCUUGUCUUGUUCCUCAGCAUUAAAGCUUUUGGAAUUAAGUGAAAGUUUAAUUUAUUUUAUAGUUUGCUUCUUAUUCUCUGUUUUGAGCUUAUACAAUGCUUUUCUUAUAACAAAAAAAAAAAAAAAANAGCCAAAUUUCUAUAAUUAAUUUGAUAUGGAUUUUUUUUUUCAUUAUGACAUUGUAGUAUUUAGGAUUCUGAAACAAGAAGGAAAAGUGAGAUAAUUAAUCACAAACAAAAAAUAAUGCAGGCAGUUGCAGUUUAGAAAGAACAGAAACUGUAUAACUUGUCUAGUUCAACUGUUGCAGUGGUGAUGAAAACUAGAGCUUGUUGUAAAUGAUUUGGACUUUCAUGUCUUUGCAUUUACGGUUCUUAAAUGCACCUCCAAUUAAAUAUUAUAUUAGGUUUUCUUCCUUUUAUAAUUGUUUAUUAAAAAAAUUAAGAUAACUAAUUUAAUACUCCAUCCCCUGUAGUCAUUUCAAUAAAUUUUCAACUUUUAAUUUAAUUUUACAAAAAUAAAUUAUUUUAUUUUCCUUCGUUAUAUAGCAAUGCUUGAACUUAAAUAUUUAUUCGUGUUCAAAUUCAAUAAAAUUUCAAUUAUAAUUCUUUCUAGUGGAUGUUCUAAAAAAUUAAUCUAAUUAAGGGUAUUAGUAGGAAAUGUGAUGGUUAGUUAAAAGAAAUUUUAAAUCAGAUAGAGUUGGUUCAGAAAUUGAAUUUCUACGGUGGCCAAGCCAAUCCAUGGGAUGGUGGUGGUGGCCGGACGGCAUAUCCCUUUUCACUUAUCCAAUUAAGCAACGGUGUAGAGUCUCAUCAGAGAAAAGACACUACCACGUAUGUAGGGUCUUCCGUCUUCCUCCCCAUUUGGGAUUAAAGCUUGCAUUCAUUAUACAUCACAACCAUAAUAAGAAAAAUAUAUUAUGACUGCACAAAGAUACCCUCAUUAUUGAGAAAAAUAUUAUUUCCUGCAAUAAUUGUUUUUAGAUUUUUUUAUAAAUAUAAAUAUCCAUUUUGAAUUCAAAUUAAAUUAUAUUUACAUUUAUCAAUUCAAAAAAGUGUUAAAACAUUUAUGUUAGUAGCAGUUUAUAUAUUUUGACUAUUAUUAUUUGUUAAUAUUUUUAAUAUAAAUUAAAUUAUAAAUUUUAAGUGUGGAAGUGAAAAAUCAAUAAAAGCAUGUAUUUUUUAUACUUUAACCAUUUAAUAAAUUUUCUAUUAAAUGAUUUAUUAAUUGCUAAUGCUAAUUAAUACUCCUUUAAUAUAAUACAAUUUAGUAAACUUGAAGUGUGAAUAAUUUAAUUUUAAGUGAAUUAAAAUUAUCACGUGCGUAAAAUUGAUCUAAUUUUUUAAUUAAAGGAGUGAAAUGAUGAUAAACUAAGAUGCAUAUAAAAUGUGAGAAUCAAAAUAAUAAAACACAGAACAUUAAAUUUACUUUUAUUUUUACAUAAUUUAGAAAAAUAUAAUUGAUAAAGAUAAAAGUGAUAACAUUUUUUUAAUAUAAAUUAAUUUAUAUUAUUUCAUUUAAAAAUUAAUAUUUUUUAAAGCCAUCUUAAUAAAAAGACAAUUUCUAAAGGUUGACACAAGGGACAUGAACAUUGGAAUUAAUUAAUGUAAUGGAGGAUAGGUUGCUGUUGACCCGUAUCAUCACAAGAAAUCAAGAAUCGUUAAAUGGUGAAGGGCAGCCUUUCACAUCCAUCCACGUGUUAUACAGUGUCAUAUGAAUAACUAGGUAUGGUAUCAUCUGUAACUCACCUGCCUCAUCAUUUCAAUUGGUCCAUGUUUCUCAAAUCCUAACAACGAAUCUUUAUAGAAUAUGAUAUAAAAUAAAAUAAAUUAUUUAAAUAAUGUUAUAUCUUACUAGAAAAUAUCAUGAAUUUCAAUAUAAAAUAUAAUUUAUUAAAUUUUAACUGAUUGAAGAUAUAAAAUAAUUGAUAAAUCCUGGUGUAGUUAAGAACUUUUCGUAGUCAAGUCAUUGGAGAUUAGUCAUUGUUGAAAUAUGGGCCGGAGAAUAUGGAUCAACAAUAUAAAUGGGUCUUCUCUUACAAUUUCAUUGGUUCACUGUUGUGGCCUGUAGUAAAGAUUUUCAUAUUAGGAUUGCAUUCUAUUUAAAAAAUUAAUUUAAAAUUUUCUAAAUAUAAUUAAGAUUUAAGAUUUAAGAAUGAAGAAGAAGGGUCUGAUUAAUUUAUUAUUAUAGUUGCUUUUUCCAGGCAAAUUUACGUUAUUUUCACACAUCAUGCAUGCGUUUGAAGUUGAAGGAAACUGGAUCUUUAUAUGUAAAUUUAUGUUGUUGAACUAAAAAGAAUAAUAUGCAUCUUUUUCAUGGCAUAGUGGACAUCUUUGCACCCAAAGAAAUCACAGCCACUUAGAUCACGAGCUUCUUUCGAGUAUAUUUAAGGCAACUUUGUAGUUGGAUUUGUAAUAGAUUUAGGAUUUGUAUUAAGGUUGGAGGCAUGGGUUUGCUUUCUUGGAAAUUUAUUAGAAUCCUUCUUUCUGGGAUUUUCUUGUUUCAUGGCUUUUGUCACCCUCUUCCACAGAUAGGUAUGGAUUUGUCUUGAUAUUUGCUUUCUCUCUCUCUCCUCGCUCUCUUACACUUGUUUUUUGUGUCUAUAUAUCUUUUGCAGCUUCAGAAUUACAUUACACAUUUGUUCACGAAGCAACCUCCGCACCAGCAGUGUUGUACUAUGACUACAUCAUCGUCGGUGGUGGAACUUCAGGGUGUCCAUUAGCUGCAACUCUCUCUGAGAAUGCAACUGUUCUAGUCCUUGAAAGAGGAGGCUCCCCCUAUGGCAAUACUAACAUAACCAACAUCGGAAACUUCGUUGCCUCAAUUUCUGACACGUCUCCCAAUUCCCCUUCCCAAUCCUUUAUCUCCGAGGAUGGAGUAUACAACACUCGUGCGCGUGUUCUUGGCGGUGGAAGCUCCCUGAACGCCGGAUUUUAUACUCACGCCAGCGCUGAUUUUGUGAAGGAAUCUGGAUGGAGUGAAAAAUUGGCUAAUGCGUCUUAUGAAUGGAUUGAGAAGAAGGUUGUGUUUGAGCCAACAAUGUUACAAUGGCAAUCAGCAGUGAGGAAUGGGUUGAUAGAAGCAGGAGUAUCUCCUUAUAAUGGUUUUACUUAUGAUCAUGUUUCUGGAACUAAAAUUGGAGGCUCAAUCUUUGAUGCGGAUGGUCACAGGCACACUGCUGCUGAUCUGCUGGAGUAUGCUAAGCCAAGAAAUAUUCUGGUCUACUUGCACGCCACUGUGCUCAAGAUCUUGUUUACAGGAAAAGGUAAAACACAUGCUCACAAUCUUAGCAAAUCUAUAUUCCAAUAACUCCUAAUUGCGAAUACAGGGAGACCAUGGGCAAGACCAAGAGCUUAUGGGGUGACCUUUGAAGAUGAUUCGGGGACAAGGCACACGGCAUUCUUGAAUAGGAACUUAUGGAGCGAGAUAAUCUUGUCGGCUGGAGCAAUAGGAAGCCCACAACUGCUAAUGCUAAGUGGUAUUGGACCUGCUUAUCAUCUUCGAGCCCAUGGCAUUCCUGUUGUGCUCGACCAUCCCAUGGUGGGCCAAGGAAUGGCUGAUAACCCAAUGAAUCUUCUGUUUGUUCCCUCCCCUGUCCCUGUUGAGGUCUCUCUCAUUCAAGUUGUGGGCAUCACUCAAUUUGGUAGCUUCAUCGAAACAGCCAGUGGUUUGACAUUUGCUUACUCUUGGGCUCAAGGAUUCGUUAGGGAUUAUGAAUUGUCCUUAAAUAAGGUAUUUACUCACCCACCAAAAACACUACUGGUGUUUGAAAUUGGUCCUUGGAGAAAUUUUGGCCCACAAACUCAUGCGUCGUUACUAAGUAAUUUAAUUGCGUUUAAUGUGUUUGAUAAUUUUAUUAAACUAACAAAUGGCGUGAUUUAUGACAUAUUUAGACAGGCCAACAAUCCAUACUGACUCCAGAAGCUAUGGCAAGAGCUGUUGAAACCGUGAAUUCCCUUGUGAACGCAACAUUAAAAGGCGGAAUUAUUCUAGAGAAGGUGACGGGUCCACGUUCCACAGGCGAUCUGAAGCUCAGGACCACAAAUCCAAACGACAACCCAUCAGUGAAAUUCAACUACUUCAAAGACCCAGAAGAUUUGAAGAAGUGUGUACAAGGCAUGAAAACCAUUAUCAAUAUAAUAAACACAAAGGCAUUUUCAAAAUUUCGAUACAAACAUGUACCAGUGCAAGCUCUGAUUAGCUUAAUGGCAAACCUACCAGUGAACUUGAGACCACGGCAUUCUACUACAACAAUUUCCUUGGAACAAUUUUGCAUAGACACAGUGAUGACCAUAUGGCAUUAUCACGGAGGUUGCCAAGUUGGGAAGGUUAUUGAUCGAAAGUACAGAGUUCGUGGGGUUGAUGGACUAAGGGUUAUUGAUAGCUCUACUUUUCUUGGCUCGCCUGGGACUAAUCCUCAAGCUACCGUUAUGAUGCUGGGAAGGUAAUCCAUUAAUAUAUCAUCUUUAUACAGAAGAGGCUAAAAGAAAAGACGUGCUCAUAUAAAUUAUUAAUUUUCAGUAUACUUAAUUUAUAAAGUGGUGAUGCAGAUACAUGGGGAGGAUGAUGAUGCGUGAGAGAAUUACUAAGUGGAAGGCUUAUUGAGCAUCAUUGUGAGUCGAUGUUAAGUUGUAUAUAGUAUCGGAAUACAGUGAAUUUAAUUACUUCAAUUUUUGUAGUAAGUUUGCUUUUCUGUUAUUUGGUAGAGAAAGCUGCCAAAAUUUAAUACAUUUCAAUAUAGCAUUGUUCAAGUUAUUUUUACAACUAAAGCCCCUUCAAUUUUAGGCUUCUAUUAUAUUAAAUUAUAAUUAACUUUUAACUUGAAUUUUAUAUAACCUUGAUUUUAUAUGAGAAAUAAUUUAAUAAUAAAAUCUUUAGAUGAAAAAAAAUUAUUUAAAAAUAGUAUAAUUCAUAUUUAGUUUGUUAUGUGACAAGGGGACCUAAACUAAUUUUAUACUAUUUUGAUGCAGUACUUUUUCUCUCUUCAGCUAUUUCCUUCUUUUCUUUAUUAAUUUCAUAAUGUUUUAGUGCUAGACCCUUUCUUUUUCUCCAAAAAGAAAAAAAUUAAAGGAGAUUUACUUUAAAAAAUUUAUUAAUUUAUUUUUAUUUUAAAAUUAUUCAGUGAAAACGUUAAUUUAUUUUGUAAAUUAAAUUAUUUAAUUUUUUUAUCAAAUAAAAUUAUCAAUCAACUUAUUUUAAGGUUAAUAACAUGAAUAAUUAAAAUUAUAAAGAAAAAAUAAUAUAUAUAAUAAAAUUAUAUGAACUAAAUACUAUUAUUAUUUAAAAUAAUUAUUUUUUUUAUAAAAAAAUAAAAUACAUUUUAAUUGAAUAAUUUUAAAAUAAAAAAUAGCUAAUAAAUUUUUAAAAAAUAUAGGAUCUCCCUUCUUUAAAUUAUAUCAACUAGAAUUUAGAAAGCAGGCGGCUCCAUCAGAUGAGGCUAACUGAUAGAUAUGGAUGGGUUUCGUUCGCUUGCAAAUGGAAGCUUUUCAUAUUUCCUUUACUAUAAGGAUGACGAAGCCCAUACAUAAACUUUUAACUAGAAUUCAAUAACGCAAUUUCUUCAAGUAAAUAAAUAAAGAAAAGAAAUUUAAUAACGACAAUGUGAUACAUUUUCUACAAAAUGAAACAGAUUCACACAUUUAUAAAGUGGAUAAUCGUAUUUAAUCGGUUUAAGUAUAACUAAUUUGUAUAUGAAAUAUGACAAAUGUGGAUAUUAUAUAAAUAAAUUCAGAACCGUUAGAAAGGUGUUCAAUUGAAAAACAAUGUGAAUUUAAAUUUGUAGUUUAACAAAAAGUCACAAACUAUCAGAGUUUCAGUUUUAGCUGAUUUGUCUCUCGCAAAUUUGUGAAGCUCAAUGCAACAAUGGAAGAAGCUUUCACAGCAGAAUUCAAAUGUGCAUUAGUACAAAUCUUAGAAGUAUCAUGUUCUACCCCAAUUCCCCCAUCCUCUUGUAAUUUUGUUAAAAAAGCAAAACAAAGCACAUGCAUGGAGCCUUUUGAGGAGUUGUUACCUCUGUUUUUGUGGUUUUUGCUUUUUUUAUUUUAUUUUAUUUUAUUUUUUAUCUAAUUUAUUGCUUGUGCUUUUGGGAGACACAAGUCUCAAUCCUUCUUUGUACAGCUCCGGUGGAGAGUAUAGAUGGCAAUCUUAGCUGGUGGUUCGUUGGAUACCAGAGUGAAUCCAGAAGGUGCGAGUGAGUCACGGAAGAACACAUCACCUCCACCCUUUUCUAAAAUCUUUGAAUUUGUUGCCUACUCCCUAGGCUCGAUCAUCGCUUCCUCUGUGCACAAAUGGUAUUUCUUUGUGGCUAACUGGCUACGGGUGAAAAAUCUUUUCUUCUGAGUUUGAGAGCUUUGCUGGUUUUGUUGUUCUUCAAUCGAUAGUACCAAGGGGUUUGCACAUGCAAUCCUGCGUUUGUUUUCUCCUCCCAUCGUCUUCGGCCAGUCCCCAGCAAGAAGAGCGGCGUGAGAGAGGAAUCCAAUUUCUUGGAUUCGGGUUACUCGGUUACAGUCUAAGGUUUUCUGUUUUUGGGCUUAAUCUUGCAGGGCUGUAUUGAUAUUUUUUAAGCCUGAUGUAAUUUGCUAAACUGGGCUUGUUGGCCUUGUAUGUUUGACUUGCUAAUGAUAUCUUUUACUUUUUGAUAACAAAAAAAAAAAAAAAAAUUACUUUGAUUAUUUUUUCUCUAAUGUAGAGAGAAAAUAAUGAAAUUUCAAAUUAAAAUUAUAUUUAUACCCUUUAAUUUUUUUUAACUUUAUAUAACUUUAUAUACAAAUAAAGGGUAGCUUAAUAAUUUCAAAAAAACAAUAAUAUUUUUUCACUCGUUUUCUCUUUUUAAAAGAAAAAAAUAAAUUUAUUUUCCUUUUCCCUUUUCUAUCAAUCCAAACAUGAUGAAUAAAAAUAAAGAAUAGAAAAUAAAAACUAUUUUACUUUCUCCCUUGUAAACCAUCCAAACUCUCUAAAUCAAUGUUACGCCAUAAUCAACGAUUAUUAGCCAAAUUAAAAUAUUAGAAUUAUUAUUAUGAGAUUCAAGUUUUCAGAAAAUUUAUUAGUAAAAUCAUUCUUAUAUUUUGUGAAACCAAAUCUUUUAAUUUUUUAAUAAAAAUAAUUAUUAAUCAACUUAUUUUAACUUUAGUCAAAGGAAUUAAAUAAUAUGUAUAAUUAAAAUUAUAGAAAUUAAAUACUAUAAAUAUUCAAGAUAAGCUAAUAUUUUUUUAUAUAAAAUGACUAAAAAGUUAAAUUUUAUAAAAUAUAUAGAUAUUUGAGUGAUUUUCAAAUAAUGAUGAACUAUUGAAUUUAAACUCAGGAUUUAAUAGUAGUUUACGCUAUAAUAUCCAAGGAUAGUCCUCGGAUAGAAUUGUUCCUUUGAUAAAUAUUGAGGAUCUGGACUUGGCAUUCCAAGUUUUGUAUAAGAAAAGCACAAAACCACUUUUGAAGAGACUUAGAGCAGGCAAUACAACCAACCUUAGUAAUGAUUACAGGACCACACAUGGCACCCCUAUAAAUAGGCACUCACCAAGCGCUGGAGUGGGGCUUUUUGUUACCUGGAAAUCAAAUGCCUUAAACCGGAAGCAAAUUUGAAGGAAGCUUUCAGGGUCAUUAUCGGUAAGAAUGGGUUUUGUCGUCCGCUUACAUAUGUUGCUUUGAACAUUUGCCGGAUACCCAACUAUUUGAAACAGAGAUUUAGGCAUUAACAAUAGGCAUGACCACCAAAGAAUUUUGUACUUGUUGUCCAUAUAAGGCUAAACCUAUAAAUCCAUAUGAUCAAUGAUGUAAUGCGGGAAAGAACUAAUUCCCUAGAGAAAAAAAAAAGGUGUGUGCAUCUAUAAGCUAUGCUACUUGGAUUCAGUCAAUAGGGUAUGCAAAAUUUCUUAGAUUUUAACGUACCUACAUCCAUUAUCCAAAUAUCCUUCAUCCCAAAACCAAAGUGUUGAAUGACUCUCCAAAAGGGAAAAAAAAAAAAAAAAAAGAAGCUCAAAUGCUUCCAGUUGCCAUUUGCCAAUGUCAAAUUAUUACUUACUUUUCUCCUUGUUUUUUUCCUCCUAAAGGAAAGGUGCAGCCAUUACGGGUGCUCUCUAUAUAGAAUUCGCUUUUGAUGUGUCUAUUUAACUUAAUUUCUAUCAAGCAAAUUAUCAACAGUUUUACCCAUGAAAGAUGCAUUGUGCUAAUUGUUCACUAAAAUAUCAUAUAACAAGGUCAACUGCAUGAAACAUGCUAGACAUAUAAUCAUUUUUAUAGUCUGACCUGUUCAACAUGUCCCUGUGGAGCGUGAGAGGCACCCCGUCCCCAUCCCGUUUACAACCAAGUGAUUACUGCGAAUAGAUUAUAAUACAGAUGCUUCAAAUAAACUUACCACCGCUAGCGGAUUGAAAGAAACAAAGAAACCAGAUAUAGAAUAUCAAAAAUGUUGAGGAGUGCAAAAAAAAAAAAUGCAGUGACCUUACAUAAAAGAAACCUCCCAGUCAUGCCUCAAUUGCCGCUGCCUCAGCCCUCAACUUGGCUUUCCUGAGCCCCAGAAACAAAGGGGCAAGACCAGAAGCACAAUAGCAACAUGUCGCCAGAACUUUGCAGAGACAGCUGCUUCCUCUGUCUUCGCAAACCCCGAGUCUCUCCCAUCUUUGCAAGAAACAUUUGCUGAAUUCUCCAAAGCUUAUCCACAAUAUAAUGAAACCUGUCAAGUUGAUCAAAUUUGAGAACAGGAAUACUAUCAUAUCUCACUCUCCCACCGUACCUUCCUUGAUUAUAUUGGGCAUCGGUCUCUUCUCCUAUUCCCAGCUACAAAAACAUGACUCCAGAAAACAAAUUGUCUCUUCUUCUCCACAUUCACCUCCUCAAAUUUCACAUUUUCUCUUAUUCAGUGUCUCCUACAAGAUGGGAAAUCUGAAGACACAGCUACUUCACGGUGGCCAAGAAUCAGAAUUAGAGUCUGCAGUAAGGAGACGGAUCAUGAGUUUUCUAAAUAUACCUGAAAAUGAUUAUUGUAUGGUUUUCACUGCCAGAAGAACAUCAGCUUUCAAACUUGUAGCAGAAUCUUACCCUUUCCAAUAUAGUCAGAAGCUUCUGACUGUUAUGACUAUGAAAGUGAAGCAGUAGAAACCAUGAUUAACUGUUCUAAGAAAAAAGGAGGCGAAGUCAUGUCAGCCGAGUUCUCAUGGCCUAGGCUCAGGAUUGAUUCAGCAAACUUAAGGAAGAUGGUAAUGAGGAACAGAAAAAAGAACAUGAAGAGAGGACUAUUUGUCUUUCCUCUUCAUUCUAGAGUGACUGGAGCCAGAUAUCCUUAUUUGUGAUUGAGUAUCCUCAGGAGAAUGGCUGCAUAUCUUGAUUGAUGCUUGUGCAUUGGGACCAAAAGGCAUGGACAGCUUUGGCCUCCCUCUCAUUCGCCCAGACUUCCUCAUUUGUUCCUUCUACAAGAUUUUUGGGGAAAACCCAUCUGGAUUUGGAUGCCUCUACUGUUCCCCUCUUGGCAGAAUCAACCAUUACUGGAAUGGUAAGUCUUGUCCCAGCAAAGAAGCUGUUUGGUUCCUGGACAAUUCUUCUGGUACUGAUAAAGAACUUGAAAAGAUGUAUAAAUUUGUUUUAGAAGAUGAAUUAGAUACAUCAAACUCUUUUUCAGGUCCAAUGCCCGUCCCAAAGAUAUAUUUUGGAGAACUGGAACAAGGAGAAACCUCCGAGUCCCAAACCAAAGUAAAAACUGGAAAAAAGAAAGCAUCAGAAACCUCUGAGACUGAAACAGCAAGAACAGCUGCAGAACAGGAAGUACCAGAAACUCCAGCCUCCAAGUCUCAAACCAUAGUAGCAUCUGCAAGACGAAAAGAACCAGAAACUUCAGAAAUUAUUGACUAAGAAAACCUGCUAAAGUAAUCGAACAAGAAACUUCAAAAACCAGUACUGGGACCACAGAGGUCGAAUGCAAGGGAUUGGAUCAAAUUGAUUUAUUGGGACUGACACAGAUCAGUAACAGGGCAAGGUGCCUGAUCAAUAGGCUGGUGAAUGCUUUAAUGAAGCUCAAGCAUCCAAAUAUGGAGGAAAUCCCUGACAUUAGAAUAUAUGGGUCAAAGAUAAAGUUUGAUAGGGGACCUGCAUUGGCAUUCAAUGUGUUUGAUUGGAAAGGAGAAAAAGUUGAGGCUCCUCUCAUACAAAAGGUCGCUGAUCGAAGCAACAUAUCUCUCAGCUGCAGGUUCUUGCACCACAUCUCAUUCUCAUAUAAGUAUGAAGAAGAAAAGGCAACAGUUCUUGAGAGAAGAACAUAUGGAGCAAAAGGAAGAUUAACCAAAAAGAGUAAAGAAAAAGCCAAUAUGGGUAUAGCAGUAGUUAAGAAAGAGGUAGGCCUUAUUGUUCUUUCAUAUGAUAAAUUCAAGACCUUGCAUUAAGUGCACAAUCUUAUGUAUAUCAUUUUUCGUUUCAAUCCCAGUAGCAUACUUUGCACUUGCACUUUAGCAGAAGAAAAACAGUGGAUGAGAAGUGGAAAUCUAGUACACAAUACCAAGAAACAUGAAUAUACUUCCAGGCCAGCUGCUCAAGUAAAACCGUUGGUUGUUUAAUUUCCCUGCAUUAGACCAAAACAUCCAUUAAGCACAAUUUGACAAACAAUGUAUGUUUGACCUUGUUCACAUCUUACCAACAAUGUAUCCUGAAUUGCCAAUGAGUUAUCGAGUAAAACAAAAUAGAAGAGAGGAUGUUAUAUAGAAGAGAGGAUGUAUCCUGAAGGCAACAAAGCCAAAAUUUUGUUAUAUAUUUUAAAUAUACAUAUAUAUACAUAUAAACACUUCGAUGAACACCCAUAUUUAAAAGAAAAAUUACAUGUUCAAAUGAAAUAUAUAUAUUAUUUGCAAGAGAGAAAUUUAAAAAGAAAAAGAAAAAAAGGAUUUGUUGUUGUGCCACGUCUAGCAAAGAGAGAAGAGAUGAUGAGAAAGAGAAGGAAAAAAAGGAGAAGAGGAGAGAAAAAUUAAAAAAAGAAGACAUGCUACUAUGCAAUUACAGCAGGGAGAGAAGCGAGGAGAAAGAAGAAGAAGAAGAAGAAGAAGGGAGAAAGAGAGAAAGGAGGAGAGAAAGGAGGAGAGACAUACCUUGUUAAUGGUAUUUGGAGCAAAAAAAAAAAGUAAGAAAUUUGCAUUUUAGCUGCUGUAGGAGUGUUAUAUGCUGUUUAAAAGAGAUGAAGAGAGACUAGAAUUUCUUUUUUAUUAUUUAAAAGCAUUUUUUUUAUAAAAAGGCUUUCUUUAGAGAGGCGUCGCCUUUGGAACCUCUUGCCUAGCGUCUUUGUGGACUAAGACGUUGCCUUUGUGUAGGCGCCUCGCCUCAGUCAAGUGAGGGGAUGCCACCUCGUCUCGCCUCUCACCUUUUAUCGCCUUUAACAACAUUGCUUGAAAUGACCCGUAAGCUGUCAUCAUCCAAUUCAAUUGUUGUUUCUUCUCAAAUGUUCGAGCAAAAUUCAUUGUUGCAACUAAAUUGGGAGAGUUUUGUAGUUCCACCUCAAGCCGAAUAGUUUCAGACAAUCCUGCAAUAAAAAAGUCAAUUGGUUGAUUGGUUCAACCAAUUGUCGCUCUUGCCGAUAAGGAUUGAAAUUAGCGCUGAUAAUUUUCUACUGAUCCAACUUGCUUCCAAUUCACCAACUCCCCCACGAGAUUGCUACUCAAAGGAGGACCAAAUCACAAGUUGCAGUUCUCCUUGGACACUUGCCAUUUCAUUCCAGGUUCUUCCUGUUUAAGUCAGUAAAACCAAAAUUGAGCCUCACCAGUAAAAUAGAAGGCAGCUAGAUUGGUUUUAUAUGCUUCAAUCAUUUAUUGAUUUUGAAAAAAAUUGUUCACAGCGAUGAAGCCAUCCAAGUGGGUCGUUAGAGCCAUCGAAUGAGGGAAAAUCAAGUUUCAUAUAUCUAGUCAUUCCUUCAACACUAUCAUUAUUUGGUUAGACAAAACUUUAUUGACUGCUCCUCGUUCCAUCUUGGUUUUGGUUUGCUCCUCUAUUGAAGGCGUGAAUGAGCUCUGAAACUUGAUGAGUCAAGUCGUUGAUACCAAGUUGUUAUGGUUCCGGAUCACAGAUCGCGUCAUGGGAUGAUUGAUAGGAAAGAAGCUCAUUAGAGGGAGCUCUUAACACCUCAAGAUUCAAAAGGGAGAGAGUCUCAAUCUCAUAAUUUUUAGAAUAAAUCUGCUUAUUUUAUUGAAUAAAAUAAAAGCCUUUUAUAGUUGUGCUCUAAUACUUCUAAUCAAAGUAGAAAUCUAAUACAAACAACUAUUAGAUCUAGAAUAAGAGAACAAAAAAUAUGAUAAAAUAAGAUAAUGGAAAAUUUGAAAAGAAACUACUAGAUAAAUAAUAUUUAUUUAUUAUGGAUUUAGGCUAUCCAUUAUUCAUAACAGACUGCCUCUCAUAAAUGUCGUCCUACCAUAGAUAAUACCAGGUGUAUUGACAAUAGAGUCAUUUCAUGAUCCUUUUUACUAAGACACUUUAGCAAUACCUCCUUUGAAUACUUCUUUGAAUACUCAAAUACCAGCUAGAAAAACUUAACACCCAUUUACAAUUAGUCUAUCUAGCAUAGACUUCAAAGCUCCAUUCAAACUAAGACACCUCAUUAUGCAUGACACCCUUGAACAUGAUUCAACAAGCUUAGCUUACAAAGAAACCUCAAGUGCAAAGUUAAUCCUGCCUUUGUUCUUUCCUCAUAGAAUUGUUGCCUGAGGUGUAGUGUACAAUAACUUAACAAAGCAUUAUUGAGCCACCCCUGCAAUAUGUCACGGUCCAAAGGUGUUGAGACCAAGGAUCCCCACAAUUCGUGGAAAGAUUGACUUUCGGCAGCCCAAAUGAGAUUCAAUGGGCUAAUUAUGCUGGCUGCAGGCUGAAAAUGCUAAUUGAGGCAGAUUAGCCAGUAGGCAGGUGGAACGGGCCCGUGGGUGCUAGGGGUGACCGGCACAGUUGGAGAAAACAGGCAGGAGAAUGGAAGCCUCCUACGCCAAAAUAGCACUAGGGACAACCUUGUAACACUUUGUAAAGACUUUGUUGAGUUUUCUUGUAUUAUUUGCCUUGUAAAAUUUUACCAAGUGUAAUAUAAAGUCUAUUUCUCCAAUUCUCUUCAUUUCUUGCUAGUUUUCGCUAGUUUAGCUUCCUUCACACCCAUAAAACUAGUUUAAGCCCUUUACAAUCAUUUGUUUGAUUUCCGCUGCAUAUAUUGAGAGUAAGACUUACUUAGUUCGACGGAUUGAGCUAAGUAUCACACAGUUUGAGUGCUUUUUGGGGUUGGACCGUUCAGGCCGUGACAAAUAACAUUAGUAUUUGGUCAAACAAAAGAGGAAAAAAGUGAAAUGGAGGAAAGAAAGUUGUAUUCUUCUAUUCUGACUGACUAAUGUUACUGGAAAACAUAAUGGCAAGACAAAAACAAGUGACAGCACACUGUCUCGACAAAAGAGGGGGAAAAGAUAGACCGGCCAACCAAGGAGAGAAGGGAGAGUGGGGCAAUUACCAAAAAAAUUCUUAGACAAAGAAACAAAAAUUGACCUAUCAUACAAGUAUUGGGAAGUUGUGAUGCUGAUGAACACAUCUUUCUAUUUGAUUAUGCAAAUAAACAGAAAUCUGAGACUACUCUACUAAGAUAAUAGUCUUCAUACUGUCUCUAAAUGGAAUUUAAAAAGUAUGUUAUUUAAGAAGGCAUGAAAUUUAAAGCAUAUAGCAAAAUUUGGGAACGUGAAACCCAAAAAAAAUAAAUUACAUACAUACAUACACACAUGCAUAUAUAUAUAUAUAUAUGAAAUCGAUACUUACAAGAAAUGUGUUUAUGUUGUCAAUAAUAGUCCUGCAGAUGCCCUUCAAGGAAGAUUUGGUUGGUGAGGAACUUCAGCAAUAUCCAAGCCUCCUCAUUUCGAGGAUGGCUAAUAUCCCCAGCAAGAAACUCAUGUGCCUUACCAUCCACCUCUACAAUACUCAUUCCAGGGAACUUUUUAAUUCCUUUCUUAUUCAUCAACCUCCUAACUUUAGUCACAUCAGUCCAUCUUUUGUUAGAAGCAUAUAUAUUAGAGAGGAGCACGUAAACCCCACUAUCUUGAGACUCAAGUUCUAUGAGGUGGUCUAGUAUACGUCGAGAGAUAUCGGAAAUUCCUUUAGCUUUGCAAGCACUAAGAAGAGCUCCCACUAUAAGCACAUCAGGUGGCAUAGGCAUACUUUUCACCAGAUGUAAAGCUUCAUCCAAUAGUCCAGCCCUGCAAAGCAAAUCUAUCAUGCACCCAUAGUGUUCUAACCUUGGAGAAAGAUUAUACUGACAGUUUGUCAUCUGACAAAAGUAUUUACGCCCUUCAUCUACCAAGCCAGAGUGGGAACAAGCUGUCAAAAUGGCAAGAAAUGUCACCUCAUUUGGCGUCAUGCCCAUCCUUACCAUUUCUUCAAAAAGUUUCUGUGCCUCGUAGCCACGUCCAUGCAUUGCCAGCCCAUUUAGCAAAGCAUUCCAUGUAAAUAUAUUCUUACUUGCCAUUCCAUUGAAGGUCUGAACUGCAAUAUCUAUGCAGCCACAUUUUGCAUACAUGUCAACCAUAGCAGUUCCAAUGUGAAUAUCCCAUUUGAUUGCCCUCCGUUCCAUGUACUCAUGUACCCAUCUGCCAUAAUCAAGAACUCCAAUGGCUGCGCAAGCUGAAAGCACACUGGUAAGUAUAAUCCUAUCAGGCUGAACGCCUGAGUUUUGCAUAUCAUAAAACAACUCCAACGAGUCCUUGGAACGUUUAUAUUGGACCAAUCCGCUUAUAAUACUGGUCCAAGAAAUUAUAUCUUUCUGAGGAAGCUCGUCAAAUAUUUGCUUGGCUUCAUUCAAACACUCACACUUAACAUACAUAUCUAUGAGUGCAUUACUGGCCUCCAAACAUCCGUCUAAGGCACGCUUAAAAGUCAACCCAUGAAUUCCCUUCCCAACACUCAGAUUUCUAUUUCUCCCACAAGCAACUAACACGCUAACAAAUGUUGCGACAUUUGGCUCAACUUCCAUCCUCAAAAACAUAGUUACAGCCUCAUCAAAUAACCCUGCCCUCACAUAACCGGAAAUGAUACUGGUCCAAGAGACCACAUCUCUCACGAGCAUCUCGUCAAACACUCUGCCAGCACCAUCACAAUCACCACAAACACCAUGUAAAUGAAGAAGUGAGUUUUGCACAUAGAUAUCGUUCACAAGGCCCAUCUUAGAAACAACCCCGUGAAUCUGUCUUCCCUCUCCGAUCCCCAGAAACUUUGAGCAUGAUUUCAGAACCGCAGGGAAAGUGUAAACAUCGGGUAAAAACCCAUUUCUCACUAUCUGUCUAUAACCCAAAAUUGCUAUUUGUGGCCUACUACUGUUAGCGUAGCAAGAAAUCAAACUAUUAAAAGGGAAUGAGCUUAUGCGCCAAUCAAAUUGUUUCAGAAAACCACAAGCGUAAUGAACAAAAUCACCAGAUUUUCCAAAGAAGUCAACAACUCUGUUGACAACUAAGUCAUUACGAACAAUGCCUGAAGUAACUAAUUGUGCAUGGAUCGUCUUGAAAUAUUUCAAGUUAUUGCAUCUAGAAAUGCACUCCAAAAGAACUGAUUUCGCGAGAUAUGGCCUAAUCUUGCUCAUAUUAGCUGCACUUGCACUAUUCCCAUUUUCAGGAGAAAGCUAUGUCAGUUGUUUGAUAUAUACAUGUAGAUUCGCGAUUGCUAGAAAGGCACAACUCCAUGAUUUCGUGAAACAGAGAGACUUAAACCAGUAAGGGAAGAGAAGCGAUGAAUUAGCAUUAGCAGAUAAUGAGAACAUGCGAGGAAGUGAAGCGUUUUCUCAAGCUUCAUAACCUUGCUAGGGAAAUGUAAGGUCUGAGAAGUGAGGAGACUGAUUUGGUUGGUCCAGUUCGUAUGAAGGGACAGAGGUUAAGUACACCCGCCAGACACCUCCUGAAAGCUCGAGUUUUCCCAAGGGCGUUCUCGCAAAGCGUUGGACUGUGCACACGGCAGUUGUCUUCUUUUUUUUUUUUCAUUAACCUUUUUUUUUAUAUAAUCUUUAAAUAAUAUCCGUAUUUAAAAUUUAUUUAUCCAAAUCAAUAAUAUUAAUUAUUAAAAUUAUAAAAAAUAAAAAAAUAAUCUAAAAUCUCCCAAAUUCAAUUUAAUAGAUCUUUCAAAUUCAAUGUAAUAUAUAUACUAGCAGAUUAUAUCUGCCAAUUCUAAAACGACUUACUACUUAAACAUGUAAAUUUAUAUUUACAAAUAAAUAUAACUAUCGUUGUCUUGGCCCUCGUGAUAUGGCCUAUCGAUAUGCCCUUUAUGACAAUUAUAUCUCUAAAAAUUAAAUUUUCCUUUGAACUCAGCGUCCAAUAUCUAAUGCAAUUCACUUUCAUUGUGGUAAAUUUUUGUAGCAUUUAUAAAUUUAUGAUUAUGAACCAGCAAGAUAUUUUAAAUUUCCCUUAUAAUAUAGAAUUCACUAAAUUUUAAUUUAAAUUAUAUAAACUAUUCUUUUAUCCAUUAUUAAAUAUUUAUCGAUUUAUAUUAUAACAUGUCUUAUAUAGUUUUAAAAUUCAAAUUUCAGACAAAAUCAAUUAUAAAAAAAAUUGAUUUAUAUCGCUAAUAUGGCAUUGAUAAAAAAAAAGAUUUUCUUUAAUAUAACAUUUGAUUAAAAUAAAAACGAAAGUGCAAUUCUCUUUUUCUCCCCAAUUUUGUAAGGAAGUUCAUACAUUCCUAAAUUAUUAUAUUUUAAAGUAAACAUUUGGUCAUUAAAUUACCACCUUAUGGUUAAGAAAAAUUUUAUUGCAUAAAGUGUUAAAAGGAUCAAUACAUUCCUUAAUUUACAUAGAUAUGUUCUAUUUUGUCAAAUUUUGUUUUAUUUUUAAGUUUGUGAUUAAAUAGUAGAUGGUUGUUUAUAAAAAAAUUAAAUAAAUCUUGUUAUUUAAAAAGUAAUAUUUAAUUUAAAAAAAGGGGAUUUUCACAAGCUUUGAAAAUAUGUGAGAUGAAAUUGGAACAAGUUGAAAAUGAAAAGCGAGUUCAAAGUGUAGCAGCUAGCAAGUUUCUCUGCGCCCUUUCAAGCUCAACCACCCCGCAAAGUCCCACAAGACCCACACCAUGACUCCACUGCAGUCCUCGUCCUCGCUUGUACUAAAUGUAAGAUUGAUCCAACACAGAUUGGACGGCUGGAGGUUUGUAGUGACACUGCGGUUGACAGGAGCAAGUCCAUUAAGACCUACAUGAUGCAAAUAUUUCAGGCGCCUCCUUUUUUCCUUGAUACAUUUAUGAGUAUUUUUUUUUUAAUAUAAAAAAAGCUAAAUAUAUAAAUUUACUUUUUAACUUUAUUAAAAAAAAUUUGGUGGCACUUUUUUUUCUUUUAAAUUAUUUUAUUUCACACUUCAAUUUUUUAAAAAUAAAAUUAAAUAAAUCUUACGAUAUUUUUAAUAAAGUGCGCACAUGAUAAAAUGAUCUGACCCGCUGCUUGCUAAAAUUAUCUCCUUUUCUUUUCAUGGUGAUGGUCUGUUAUAGGCUGGCUGCAAAGAAAUUGAAUAGCUACAUUGUACUUUUACGCAAUCUUAGAAGAUGAACAUCUGCAAUGCCUCAACAAUAUCUCAUUGCUUCCUUUGUUUAACAGGGCAGUUGAAGGUAAAAAGCUUCUCUAUGUGAUUGUCAUUACAGCAGCAGAUAGAAGCAAUUGCAUGACUAUGAAGAAAACAUUAUUAGCUCUAAAAUGGUCUUUCCAAAUUAAAAUUAUCCUUAAAAGGGAUAUACAAGUAUGGUACCGGUGAUCAGAACUUGAAAGCUGUGAUCCCAUUCGGAACAAAACAUACAAACAACUUCUAGUUGAAGAACAUCUUUAUUCUACUACAUUUACAAUUACGAAAAUUUGGCAACGGUGAUAAUGUUGUCAAGGUAAUUAUCAGUGUGAAAUCAGUAUACAUCAUUGAUGCAUAAAAAAAUAACUGAAUAACAUUUGGCACAUUGGAAGAUGAAACGCUGCAGGACAAGAGAUUCAGAAGGGAGGCAAAGAAACAGACUUGAAGUAAACAAUCUUACAGAUUUUGCUUCAUUUUGAAGUGGCAGCCACUCUUCAAGCAAAAACCACAUCUGAACGGAACACAUAUUUGACACCUUUGGUAACAUUCCGGGCCUCAUGCAACAUACACUUGUCCCCAUGAAUGUGUAAUAGAGCCAUCCCUUCAGUUGGAGCCACCUACAUAGUUCAAAUUGACAACAGACACAAAUUGGCUAAAUGAAAACCAAAGCUAAUCAACAAGGGGAAGGAGAAUAAUUUGUGAAAUCAAAAAAGGCAUAUACAAUGAGGGAAAAACAUACAAAAGAAGGUAUUUACCUCAGCUACAACACCAUUCCUUGAACCAUAGAAGACAGUUUCUCCUCCAACUAGAGGCUCUAAGGAAGAAUCCUUUGAGUCAUUUGGAUCAUGUUUCGUUCUAGCUUUAGAAUCACCACUUAAAUAUAUUAGCAGUGUAUAAUGUGUACGCUUCCCAUCCCCAAGGUCAACACUUUCAUCAAUGUGCCGCCCAAAACGCUGGCCUGCCUUGUACCUGAAAAGUAGAAAACCCAUUGAACCCCUAAAAGGUAUUUAAUUUCAAAGUACAAGGGACAAAAAGAAUUAGGUCAAUACUAUUUUAAACAAGCAAACGCAGUGCUAGCUAAAAAUUUAAGUGAUAGAGAGAUCUGAGUAUUGAACUCAACUCAGGUAAGCCUAAAUAUGUUCUAUCCAAUUCCAUAUAUACCUAGUCACAAGCCAAGUAUUUUUGCACACACCAGAUUAUUGCUAAAAAAAUUUGAAUAAAAUAGCUAUUUGAGCAUUAUUAAGAACUGAGAAUGUCUGUAAGAAUACUGCAUAUCAGAAAUCAGAGACAAGAAAUCCAACCUAUAGAAUCUGAUAUUUGGAUUCAAGCCAACAGCAACCUUUCCCCGAAUUUUAAUAUCAGAAAACAAUUUGUUAAGUCCAGACUCCCAUACUAUAUUUGCAAGAACAGGAUCAUUUACAGAUAUUCUAUCAUUAUCUCUGUAAGCUUCUCCUUUAGUUGGACCAAGACUCCCUUGGUGAAGAAAUCCAACAGAUUCUGCAGCUUUGAUAAAUGACUUCGAUUCAGCAGAUGUGAGAAAACUCUGCACCUGAAUAUUUUAGAAAAAGGCAAAACUAUUACAGCCAGAAGAAUUUCUUAACCCUAACUACCUAAGAACAUAAUAGACGAGGAGUAAACACUUUGAUCAUUUGCAAGCUCAAAUGAAGGCACAGCCCAGAUAAUUAACUAGGCAGUCAUUUUAAAUGCUGAAACAGCCCUCAACUCAUUCACAAUGAAAAGAAGACAAAGAAGCACUAAGGAAGGUUAAAAUUUAGAAUCAGGUUUAAAUUCCUGAAGACUGCUCAACCUCAGCACCGACAAUUAUCAUAUCUAUAGAGAAACCCCAUCCAUUCUAGUGCAGAAAAAGGAACAAAAAGCUAUGCGUCAGGACAUAUAUACAGAAGGGAAAUUAAAAAGGGAAAACGUACAGUGAAAAGAUCGGUAUCUUUGAGACGAUUAAUCUGAAGAUUUUUCUUGGGUUUGAUAAGAGGCCACUUCUUAGAUGAUGCGUUUUUGCCACUGUCUGUCUCUCUUCUCUCUCCCAUCUUUCUCUUCUUUGUUCCUUCCUCCGCCAUUGGCGCACUCACCUUCCCUUUCUUCAUCUUCUUUUCCAUCCAUGUUUUGGGUUAUGAAUGAGGAUCAGCUGUGAAUCUUGUCUCUUUUGGGCCAAUCCGAUUCCCAAUUACAGGCCCGGCCACCUGUUCGGGCCACAACCAGCGAUUUAAAAGUCUAGUAAAAAAAUUAGCUGAAAUUGAAAAAAAAAAUUGUCAUAAUUUUAGUGGGUUUUAAUCCGUUUGUUUAAUUUCAGUUUUUUUUAAGAGUUUAAUUUAGUUUUAAUUUCUAUUUUUAGUGAUUUCAGCAUAACUCUGAAAAUGAUAUUUUCCAUGUGAUUCCCUAUAAUCCUUCAUUAAAAAAAAAAUAGAAGUUUUAAAAGAUAAUUAUAAACCAAUCAUGUUGAUAGAUUAUAAAAUACAAUUUUUGAAUAUUUUAAAUUUUUUAUUUUGGAAAACCGCACAUUUUUAAUUUAAAUUUUUAUAAAUCUUUCAUAACUCCAUAAAAUUUUAUCCCAAAAAAUGCUUAAAAAGAAAAGCCUAUAGAACUGCUCAAGCCCUGCCCGCCACUUCUAAUCACUAAUCAUUGGACCCGAUUAGCGGGGCGGUUUGUCCAGUAUGGUUGACUCAAUUUUAUAAUAUUACUUUAUUGAGAGAGAGAAAGCGAAAGAAACAAAAAAAGUCGUGGGUUUUGUUUUCGCUGGCGAUUGGAGCCUCAACUUUGGCUUCUCUUUUCGUUCCGCGUUAUCUCAAUUUUGCAGGUUCUGUUUCAAAAGUCGCUGAUGGAAUUUGAUAUGGGAUUUUUUUUAUUUAUAUAUGAAGAUUUUUUUUGUGUUUUUAUUGUUUGGUCUGUAUUUGAUUUUUACGAUAUAUGAUAGUACUGAACGAAUAUUGGUCGAUAAUUUUUAGACAUUAGUGUUUGAUAAAAUACUGUUGAUAAAAACGUCAAAAGCAAAUCGUUUUUCUUCGGAUCGCUCACGAUGGAUUGUUGAAAUUUCUGGUUGAUUAUUUGCAGUGGCUGAUUUUGACAAAUUUUUUAUACGAUUUGUGCAUGCCGAUCUUGAUUGAUCUGUCCUAUCCAUUGGACGAUAGACACUUUUCUAUUUUAAUUUUUUAUAUUUCUAUUUGUUGUUCAUAAAAAAAUAUGCAAGGUAAAUUUAGAAAUUAUAUUUUUUUAAUUAAUAAUUUAAAGAUGAUGGAUUAAUUCUUCUACAAUUAUUUAUUAUUAUAAUUAUUAUUAUUAAUUAAAAAAUUAAAAUUUUUUUAAUUUUAUUACAUUUCUCUUAGUACAUUUUAUUAUAGUCUCUGCAUUUAUUUUUCCAAAUUUUUGUUGAUUUUUUUAAUCGUUGGUUUACGUAUUGACGACUGACCGAUUUGGCGAUGGCUUUAUCUCCAGAUCUUUGGUUGGCCUGCUUUUGUUACCGGUGAGAUGUAUGAUGGGCAAUGUUGGUCGGUUGGGUGGUGUCCAUCAAUUGAUGGACUGGGUAUGAAGACUGUCCAAAUUUUUUGGUUGGAUUUGGGUGGUGCUUUUGAGUUAGAUUUUUGAUCCAUUAUAUUGUGGGCUGGGCUAAAUAUGUAAAUUUACAUUCUGUCUUUGAGUUGUAUUCUGAACUUAUCGGUUGAAUUUUUAAUGCGGUUAUCCAAUCAUAUUUUGAUUCUUCAAAAACACUGUUUUAUUUUUAAAUUAUAAUUUUUUUAACCAUAUAUUUAUAACAUUUAAAUCUCUUUUUAUAGAUAAAGAGGGGAUGGGGUGUGGCUCGAAUCUAGGACCCUGGGAUCAAGUACUAUGCUUCGUUGACCAACCAAGUUAGGCUGCCUGGUAUUUUUAAAUUAUAAUUUUAAUCCUUAUCGCUGACCAAUCUAAUGAUAUAUUUAGAUUGAGAAGUAAAAUAAAAAGAAAAGAAAAGAAAAAUAAUGAUUACAGAUGAAAAUAAACUUUUAUUAGUGUGUUAGAAUAUGCAGAGAAAGAUAUAAAAAAAUAUAUUUUCUAAAUAUUAGAAUUACAUUUUUAACUCUAAAUAUUAAAAAUUAACAUAAUAAAUUUAGAGAUAUAUUUUUAAUUUAAAAAUUUUCUAUCCCAUUUUCUCUCCAAUUUUAGUGAAUUAUAAAAUUUAUUUCUUUCUGAUAUUUUCCCCUCACCCAAAUAAAAAUAAAUGAAAAAUAAAUUUUUUUUCUCCCACUUUUUCGCUUAUAGUGCAAGUGUUUCAAAUCAAGGCACACUGAGAGCCAUACAUUUUUUCAACCUACAAUUUAAAUUGCAUUGUAAGGCUGCUGAGAGCAGCAAGAUUUUAAUAUUAUAACAAGAUAUUUAAUUAUUCGAAAGUAUAAUAAAGCUAAGAAAUUUGAAUAUUUUUUUUUAAGUAUAAACUAGGCAACCACGUCAAGAUAAAUAUUGAUUAUUCAAGAAACAUGACGUAAUAAAAACCUGAUAAAACCUUAAAGAAAUCAGAUUAAUUAAACCCGUUCAGUGCCAUGAUCAGUCUAACUACUCAGAUAUGUGUAGUUUACAAAAAAUUAUUAAAAUUUUAUUUAUUUAAUUAAUCAUUUUUCUUAACUCCAUCAAAAUCGGAAUGUUUUUUUUUCUUAUUUUAAAGGAAUAAAAUAUUUUCUUCAUCCUAAUUAAAUUAUUUCAUAAAAAAUUUACUUUGUAUGAAAUAAGUCUUUUGAAUUAAGCUUGUACUCAUUUGAAUUAAAUAAGUCUUAAUAAUUUCUUUAAGUAAAAUCUAACCAAAUAAAAUUCCCAUUAAAGUAUAAUAUGAAGAAAGCUAUGGCUCAUUUUGUGAUUAACUGAAGCUAAAAAUUAUCUCGAGGUUUAGCUGACUCGCCAUAAAAUGUGAGGCACGUGAGACGGUCUCUUCCCGUUGGUGGAUGUGAUCGUCGACGAUGCGGUGUCGGAUGUCCAUUGGUUAGUUGCGCACAUCAUUGUACGAUGAAAUUGACACCUUUUUAUUACUUUCCACUUUUUUAUAUAUAUAUUUUUAAUUUUUUUGAAAUUUUUUUACACUUAUUUUACCAAAACAGGCUAAACAGUAUGCCUUCUUGUUAAUUAUUCUCUUAUUAAAUGGUCUACUUUUGCAUUUCUAAAAUUUGCGAAUAUAUACGCACUUUUCCGCUUCUCGACGGGAUGAGAUCUUGAUAAUUUAGGGUUUUGUUGUAUGAAAAUAAAUAUCCUGGUGUACGUCAAUCUCUGUAGGGUGUGGUUUUUGUAAGUGAAUCUAGGGUUUUCUCUUUGUCACUUGUUUUUCUUUACUGCUCCAUCUUCUAUGUGUUUAGUUUCCUUCCCAUCUCCUAGGUUGUCAUUGGUUGUUCAAAUCUUUGAUAUAUUUUCUUCUUCUUCUUCUUCUUCUUCUUGUUUUUACUGUAAAGGAAUUUUCCAUAUCUGGGCUGGUGAUUUUCGUAUAUGGUUAGUUCUGCAAGUGUAAACCAUUUCUGGGUUUUCUGGGUGUGUAUAAUUCUUGUCAAAUGUUGAUAGUUUGAGCCUCUUUGGUGGUCUGGUAAAGAACGGGUAGAGCGAAAUUCCUUCAGCGAAAGCGCAGGAUUCUGAGGUUUACGACCUUCUGUGAGAUUUUUGUAUCAAUUUCAACAAGAGAAUUACUUUCACUUGCAAGGUUUUAUUGAAAAUCCUCAAUGGUAACUGGUCGAUUUACAUGAUCAACCAGGACAUGGGGAGAGGAAAGGUUCAGAUGAAGAGGAUUGAAAAUGCUGCAAGCCGUCAAGUGACCUUCUCGAAGCGUAGAAACGGGCUUUUAAAGAAAGCUUAUGAGCUAUCGGUUCUAUGCGAUGCAGAAGUUGCUGUCCUAAUCUUUUCACAGAAAGGAAGGCUCUUUGAGUUCUCAAGCAAUGAGUACGUUUUUAAAGAAUGAAAUGAAUAAUUUUCUGUUUUAAAUUAAAUUAAUUACUGAGGGUCAUUGGACCACUGUAUGGUCACCUGCAAUCGAAAAGCUGCAGGCUGCCGUUUUGAUGGCUUGAAAUUGUUUGAUGCGCUUGCUUUCUAUGUCACUUCAGUCAGUCUUAGAGUCUAAGAAGAGUGAUUACGACCCAUUUCAUUUGUACCGUAGGGAUUUUACAAACAGUAAUUAGAUUUGCUCAUCCAUUGUUGGUGUGCCACUUCUGCGUUUGAUUUACUUGGCUCCCAAAAAUUAGAGAGGAAGUUUUUGAUAUUUAUCAGUGCCUCCUUUCAAGAAAUUUCUUUCUUCCUUCUCUUUCUCUGAUCAUAUUGUUUCUUCUUUCUCCUUUAAGUUUUAUCCAGCUUGAAAUAUCAGCUAGCGGUCCUAGCUAGUCCCUUCAGCUCUGCUCAAAUUCUCCAGUUAAUUAGAACUAUGUCAUUGGAGGUUUCAACAGCUUCUGGAAUCAUAGCUACUGUCAUCUGGUUGGUUUUUCAGUUGUCACACUGGGAACUAGCAACCGCUGUACUAGUGUCUUAGUCAAUGGAUUUUCAUGUUAAAACCGUCGUAUUUUCUUGAAACAGAAUAACCACCAAAAUGGAUCUUGUUCUUUCCAUUUUUUUAUGGUUUUGUUCUUUAUUUAUCUCCUUUAGUUAUGAGUUCCUCUCUCACCAUUGCUGCUUGAUUAUAUAUGUGGUACUCGUUGAAAUUCAUUUCAUAAGAUAGUGAAUUGUCUUUUGUUGGUAAGGCUCUUAUUUCUUUGCUUAUGGUUUUUGUCUGCUAUUUUGGAUUGCCCUCUUUUUCUCCAGUUCUUUGAUAAACUCUUCCUCUUUGGGAAUAAGGCUUCACGCAUUGUGGAUUGUAUGCCAUUUAAAUGGAUACUUUUUUAGUAUUUUCAUGUGUUUGCUUAAAAACACUUGUAAAUAGGCAUAAAUGGCUGAUUUAUGUCUGAGAAAUGCUACAAUAUGUUUGUUAUUUCUGAGUUCUGAGUAGUUGAGAAAUCUGCCAACCAUUUCAUUUAUGAUUUUGAUCUAGUAACGUUGGUACAAAUUGAGGUUAACUAGAUUGAGUAUUUUGUGAUUGGAGAAAACAGUUUAGUUUUAAGGGCAGAAAAUUCAGACUCUGAUCUUGAGCUUGAUUGGGAGGUUUCAUUAACAAGUGGGGAUUUUGUUAGUUUAACGAAGUGAUGAGCCAAGUCUCAUAGACUAGAGAAAGGAAAAUGGGAUAGAAAGACAUUAAGGAGAUAGAAUUUUCUUUCUCUCUCUAUAUAUAUGUAAAGAAUUUUCUGUCACUAGGUUGAUGCACUUUGCCUUGAGAAAUGAGAAGCCACAUAUUUAAUUUCUACAUUUUCGCUUGCUGUGAAGAUGCAGAUACUAAUUAAAAUUAUUCAUGAGCAGGACAUUCAAAAGAGAUGCAUAUUUUUCAGCGUGUUCAUGAUCAAAACGUCUUAAUACUUGGAAGUUUCUUUUGUUUUGCGAUGUGCUAGUGUAUUUCUAUGUGAAGUUAUAUGCUUAUUUUCUUUACAUUUGCUUGGUCGAUAUCCUUUCAGCCCAAAUAAAUUUCAUAUUCUUCCUUUAACAUUUUUCCAUUUAAAUUAACAAUUUUUUUUUUCUUCCCUUUCACAUGUCCCCUCUUCUUUUUACAUUCCACACACUAUAUAUUUUUCCCCUUUAGACCCAUAAUUUUUGUUAUUCAUAGCUCUUAAUUUGAAAAAUUUUCCUUUCUUCAAGAUUUAAUUUAAACUUUUGCAAUUUAUUUCAACAUUUCCUUUUAAUUAACUAAAUUUUAAAUAUUUCUAAAACAUUCAUUUACUUUUAACAAUAAAUUUAGCUUAUAAUUAGAAAAGCUGUGAAACAGUCCGGUUCAAACCGGGUCAAAUAACUGGUUCAAACUGGGUAAAAUAACUUUUUGAAUCAACUUUCUACUUAAUCCAAAAUAGUUAAUCCAAAUCAGUUAUUUUGUAGUUUCGUGCUAAUUAUUAAUACAAUUCAGAAUUGCCAUAAUUUUUUGAUGCGGAACGCGGUACAAGCAAACAGUUCUAAGCAAGUAGCUGAUUCUUACACUCUCACACUAAUUUUGCAAUUUUUCAAUGAGCUGCUAAUUUUGCGACGUCCUCAUUGUAACUGGAUCGGAUGUAAUUGCUAACCAGGACCGGACCCUUAGGUAUUGUGGUUCGCUAGUAUUUCGGGCGGCUCCACCUCGUCUCUUACGGAUAGCCCUUCCUCGCAGGUCCACUAGCUCGGCACAAUUUGUCUGACCCUGCUAAUUUUGCGACGUUCUUAUCGCAACUGAAUCGGAUACAAUUGCUAACUAGGACCAGACCCUUAGGUAUUGUAUUUCGCUAGUACCUCAGGCGGCUCCACCUCGUCUCUCACGGGUAGCCCUUUUUCCUCGCAGGUCCACCAGCUCUGCACAAUUUGUCUGACCCUGCUAAUUUUGCGACGUCCUCAAUUUGUUUGACUUUGCUAAUUUUGUGACAUCCUCAUCGCAACUGAAUCGAAUACAAUUGUUAACCAGGACCGGAUCCUUGGGUAUUGUUGUUCGUUAGUAUCUCGGGCGGCUCCACCUCGUCUCUCACGGGUAGUCCUUUUCUCGCAGGUCCACUAACUCUACACAAUUUAUCUGACUCAGGGUGGCUCUGAUACCAAUUGAAUCAGCCCGACCGUCCAAAUAACUUUUUAGAUCCAUUUUCCACUUUCCAAAAUGAUUAACCCAAGUUAUUUAGUAGUUUCGUGGUAGUUAUUAUAUAAUUUGAAAUUGCCGUAAUUUUUGAACGUGGAAUCACAGUACAAGUAAACAGCUCUAAGCAAGUAGCUAAUUCUUAUAUGCUAGAGUUAUUACUACUUAAUUUAUUUUAACUUUAGAUAUUUAUACAUAAUUAUUAUAUUACUUUAAUUUAAUUGAUUUUCAAUUUUUAAAUUAAAUUCCAAUUAAUUGGAUAUUCCCAAAAUUUAAGACAAAAAAAAAAAGUUUAAUAUAAUCAAAUAAAUAUCUCUAACUGUUAUAGUAAAAAAGUUUAGCAUAUUGUAUUAUUUGCAAAUAAUUUUUGUGAUUUAAAAAGGGAUAAUUAAUAUUUCUUAAAAUAAACUAUAAAUGAUAUAAUCUAUGUUUUUUCCCCUUAACUGUGAAUAAUGGUGUAUGUUAAUAGACAUAUGAAGAUUUGUUUUUGAUAAGUAAAUACUUUUACUUAAUAAGAAGUUUAGGGAAAGGGGAAAAGGAAAACCAAGUGAGGAAUUAGCCAAGGGCAGCAAGCCCUGCCCAUACACCCACCAUCAUAAAACUAUAAAUUCUUCAGAUGAUUGAUUUAAUUCGAACAUUUAAUCUCCCUAAUUAGCAUUAUAUUUUGAGUCAGCCCCUAAAUCGAGUGAUCUUCACGUCUCACCACUUGAAUACAAAAAUAGAAAGUAUAGUUUUGAUACUGAGUCAUAUUACUCAAAUUCGUUGAUUACAUUUCUUAAUUAGUAAAUGAAUUAGGAUUAAUCGUUAUAAUAAAAUUAUUAAAUAUACAUACAAUUUUAAAAUUUCUCCUUCUCCCUAAAACCUAUACUGGCUUUUCCUUUUGAUAUGCAAAGAUUGCAAUACACUUGUGAAAAUCUUUUACUGGCCCUCGCUCCUGCUCAUGAGAAAGGAAAUGUUAGCGUUAGGCUUAAUGUUUGUAAUGAUACAAAAGCUAUUGCACUGUGAGGUUCUCUUCAGUUGUUUUUUUUUUUUUUUUCUUUUUUCCUUAGAAUAGAAAUGAUAUGGUAUUGAUUGCAUCUUCUGGUUGGAUGCUUCAGCAUGCAAAAGACCGUAGAACGGUACCGUAAACAUCCCAAAGCUCAUGUUCAAGCUGACAGCGUCGAUAAAGAACAAUACAUUCAGGUUUGAUCUUUCAUUUCAUGUGGCUUUAUUUUUAUAUCCUUUGUUUAAGAGUUAGUUAUAAUCGAUUAAUUCUUCAUACAAAAAUAAAUAAAUUCAUUUAUUAUUAUAAUGAUGAAUUCCGAGUUAAAUUUAUAUUCUUACUACUUCAAAAUUUUCAUGUAUUUUAAAUGCAACUGUACUGAAACAGUCCAGUCCAAAUUAACGCAAAAUAACUUUUAGAUCCACUUUCUACUAAAUCUAAAAUGGUUAAUUCAAAUUAUUUAAUAAUUUCGUAUUAGUUUGAAAUUUCUAUAUUCCGUCGAUUGGAUAGAAUUUUAAGCAGACAACUGACUUUUACGAUGUAUUUUCAUAAAAUUUAAAGAGGUAGAAUUGCAAAUGGUUUUUUCCACCAUUAAAUAUGUUGAAAAUGUAUAAUGAUGAUCAUUGUGAUAGAAAAAUUUGAAUUUAAUUGAUCAGAUUUUAGUUUAAAUAUUAAACUUAUAAUUUUAGCAAAGUGAAAAAUAUUCAUAAUUAAAUUAAAAUAAAAUUAUGCACAACCAUUUUCUACUUUUACACAUAGUAAAUUUGUGAAGUGUGAAUUAUAUAGCUAUAUGAUCAGUAAAAAAUUUAUACUAUUUAGUCUGUCAAGCGAAUUGAUAUUAUACCAUUUUACAAGGAAUUGAAAUCGUGGUGUUUGACAAAAUAUUUCCCACACUUGGGUGAAAGAUAUUCGGGUGGGACUAAUUCUUGUAUAUAUUUAUUUUGGCUUACUGCAGAAAAUUUUGCUCAAGGAAUGUUGACAAUGUCGGGCAUGCCUUAAAUUUAUAUUUUCAUAUAAGAAACUAUAAUAAAACAUUUUUAUCUAUUAUUAUUGUUUUGUGAUUUUUCAUUUAGUAUAUAAAAGAGAUUUUUAUAAAGAAAAUGAUAUAAAAACACAAAAAAGUUGCCUCAAUUAAAAAGAAUAUUAACUGCUUUAUGCUUACCUAAAACACCAAAACCCUCUUUAAAACAAACACUACAAGAUUCUAAACGUAAGAUAAAGUAACUAAUCAUGAUUUUGAGUUAUUUUCAUGUGAUCCUUGUAAGAAGAUUACUGAAGAGAGGGUAAGAAAACAGUAUCUGUUUUUGUUGGUUAUCAUAUGUACCGAAACUUGAAGGUAAUGUACUUGUCUAGAUCUGGAUCAUUUCUCCUAUUGCUAUGAUUCAUAGAACUCUGAUUUGCUAAGAUUCCCAAUUCUACAUGCAGCAAAUAAUUAGUGAAUCCACGGAGAUGGUGAAUGAGAUUGAGCAGCUCGAAAUUUCACAACGGUGCGUGUUUUUAGUUUGAGAUUGUCCUCUCAGUCUUGGUAAUUAAAAUUUGAAAUUGGUGUGUUUCAGGAAGUUAUUGGGACGAGGUUUAAAUUCUUGUUCUCUGGAAGAACUCCAAGAUAUGCACAAUCUACUAGAGAAAAGCUUAAGCAACAUCAGAGCAAGGAAGGUAUCUAUAAACGUCUUAUUCUGACUUGGUUGAUGCAUGUGACUGAAAGCUAAUACAAAACUUAAAAUGGCUUACGAUAUCAGGAUGAGUUCUUCAAGGAGAAGAUGGAGAAACUACAAGAGAAGGUAAGUAGUACAAUGUUAGAUACUAAAUUAACAAAAGAUUUCUUGAGUUCCUAAUAUUUUAUUUUCUGAUUCCUAUUUCAGAAAAGGGUCUUGUUGGAAGAGAACACAAUUUUACGAGAAAAAGUAAAUACUUAUGCUUGUUUUUAAAAUUUUAGCACAAUUGUGUUGUAGUUGCGGCAAACCCUAACCCUAAAGAGAACUGAUCGAGUUAGGUCAUAUCUUUUUAUUAAUAUUAAUUUGGUGCACCAUGAUAAAUGUAGUGUGGUGAGAAGCCAUGGCCGCAUCCAACUCAACAGAAAGAAGCUGUGAAAAACUUAAGCUCAAGUAGGAAGAAUUCAGAGGUGGAGACUGAAUUGUCCAUUGGUUUUCCAAAACCAAAACUGCACUGAUUAUAGCAUCUUUAGCCAGUUGCUGUAAGUAUUAAAUAGUUACUCGUAAGCUGCACUGAUUAUAGCAUCUAUAAUAUUAUAUUGUAGUGGCAGAAAACGGAUGCAAUAAUUCUAAAUCAUUGCUUUAAUUUAUAGUUACAAAUUAAAUAUAUAAGUCAAUCAUUUAUUAUAUUUUUGUAACAGUGAGAUUUCGAAUUUCAAAUUCACCUAAGUAAAAGCUGCAAUGAUUAUUAUGAGUUAAUUUUCCUUUCCGGGAGUUCCCCCCUCAAUCAUGGAUGGAAGUUAGCAGAAUGUUAAAUGCAAUUUAGAAGAAAAAAAGUCUCUAAUCUUUUUAUUCAAUUUCUUGUGCCCUUUUCCUUGGAAUCCAAAAACAAGAUGGUCAAAGGGGCUAGGGUACUGAAAUGGAGCUUUGUGAAUAAUGGUUAUUUGCAUGAUUUAGGGACAUAGGCAAUGGUCCUCUCUGCCUUACACCUUUCAUAAUAACAAUACCCAUAUGCAUAUGUAAAGACAACACACUGCCUUGCCCUGCACCACAAGCUCCUCUCUUUCCCAUUUUUGUUCAAGCAAAACACAUGUAAUGGACGAGCAGAGAGGUCCAUGCAAGCUAUUCAGUUAAAUAAAAUGUGUACUGAUUAAGCAUAAGUGAUUAUGUUUUUGCAAAAUAUAAAUGAUAAAUGAAAAGGGAGAAUGAAAACAGAGGGAAAACAAAACCGAGAAGAUGCAAAGGAAACAGCAGAACUAAAAGUUGAAGUGUUUAGCAAGAAAGGACGAAAUCUAUUCGCCUUCACAUCUCAUCAUCAAUGUAAUUAACAACCGUAAGUAAACCUCACAUCACUUGCCAGGUGAUAUCAAAUAUCUCCACGUGCAGACCUCAACCCCUCUUUGCUUUCCCAUCAUCAAUCAGAAAAGGCCAUGCCGUUUCAAUGCUACUAACCCCAUCACCAUAAAAAAUCGUAGCUGUUUCAUGUAUUAUCGAGUCCAAUAAAUCCUUCUCUAAUUCCGUUACAAUCCCUUCUACUUCGACGAAAGCCACAUCGUUCUGGAGCUUCAGUAGUGGCAUGUCUUUUUCUACCAAAGCAUCAAUAUCUUCAAGAACGCGACAAUCAGUACAGGGGAAGCUUCUAACUUUAGAACAUAACAAAUCAAUUAAAUGUGAGCCACGCACGUCUUUUUUACCAGCAAUAUUAUUACUAUAUCCACUGCCUGAUGAUGAGGCAGCCCAUGAUUUCAUGUUCAUGCAAGGCUUUAAAAUCUCCACCAACAUUUCAUCCACAAGGUGAAACAGCAACUUUCUGUUACACCUAUGCUUGAGUUGACCAUAUGCGUACUUUUCACUGUUGCUGGAGGCAUGGGAAAUAGUGCUGAAAUUUUCUAGAUAGUAAAAAAUUGAAGGGUCUAAAGGACGGGACGGAGAGAACCACCUAGAAAACGACACUGAAGUAUCCUUUUCUAUGCCAACGUGUCUCAGUAUUCUAGUUACGUACUCCCGUAAUUCUGCUGCUGCUGCUUCAUCUUCGGUGGUGGUGGCAGCUGCUCCGUUAGACCUAUCCUCGUUGUUGCUGCCUCGGGCAUUGAGAGCCUCUUGUUGUUUGUACGAAUGGCUCGAACAACUAGAUAACUGUGACCUACGUUUCGCUUCUUGAGCAUUUGGUGCCUAUAACGGCAUCUCACAAACUUUACUUUUCAAAAAUAAGCAAGGAAUAUUACUGACUCAAGAAUGGUAAAGACAAUAGACUAAAAAUAGAUGUUCAGCUAAAGUAACUUCUAAAAUACAGUUAAAUACCGGUUUUUGAGGAAUCUCCACUGCUUGAGGAGGAUGAUCUUUCUUGACUGGAAGGAGGAGGGUAGGGACAGUAAUGUUGAGCAGGUCAUUUGAUAAUGGGGAUUUCUCGCAUUUCUUUUCAGGAAUGUUUGCUCCGGUUGCCAUUAUUGGACGUACAAGUGGUUCUUCCCGCUUUUUUCGGAUAAUAUCCGAACUUUGCGGAGGUUUCGCGAGUCUAAGAGGUGGACUAAACCUCUCUUCAGCAACUUUCUUGCACUUCUUAAUGGGUCUCUGUUGAUGCUGGUGGUCGUACUCUUGCUCUUGCAACGCUAGCAACUUAGACUUUGUUGGAGCUUUGGUCUUUUGUAGCCUGACAUUGACCCUUGAAUGUGCUGAAGUUGAUGGUUUUAGAGACUGAGAAAUACUAUGGUCCUUGGUGGAUGAUGCUCUAAAGAUUGGCCUGUUCCUGGGUUCCAAGGAUUUGAGUGAGAAAGGAGCUGUUGAGUGCUUGCCUGGACUUGAAUCAGCAGUGACUUUGGUGAGAACCUUGCUCAUUUUCUUGGACUUCAGUUGGCUAACAAGCUCAUCUCUGCUUACUGGCUCUCUGCUUUUGACAGUGUUUGUAAUGUCCAACCCAACUUUCCUGCUAACGCUUUCUUUGGCCUGCUUCACAAUCUGCCUGGCAUAGUGGCCUGGACUUCUAUUCUCGUCUUCAGUUUUGAGUUCUUUACGUUUCAACGAUGAGAUACGAGAGAGAACCUGCUCUUCAUUAGGGCUCAGGUUUUCUUUGUUGAUUUGAAAAGACAAGCGGGGUUCCACAUCUGAUCUUCUAGCUGAUGAUAUUCUCGGAGUCUCCGGCAAAGAAAGCGCUCCUGAAAAAUCACAGUCCAGACUACUUCUGUGGCUACUUUGUUUGCUUUGUAGAAACUGCCGAUGUCGAAAGUGGUGGUGUAAUUGAGACUUCCCUAGAGGAUUUGGAGUCCCACGAGUUGAUGAAGAAAAGGUUGGAGAAUAGCUUUGAUCAGGAACAAGAUCAAGACCCAUGAGUCUAGCAACCAAAUUUGGGCUCCUCAUACUUGGGGAAGAGGCGAUUUCUGAGGAAGAAUCAUUUGUAGCUCCUCGUAGUCUUGAACUUGCAUGUCCAUUUGUUUUAAUUUGAAUACCCAUCUAGAUUUUUUUCAUAAAUAAAAGGGUAAUAAAUAACAACAUUGUCAUCAUCACCAUGAUUACUUACUUUUCACAAACAGGGAUCUUUAUGAAGAACACAAUUUUAAAAUACUGAGGAAAAAAGUAAUAAUAUCAGAGCACUUAAAACUUACUGGGAUGCUUAAACUUUCAUCUGCUUCUACAGUCGUUGCUGAUGAAGGCUCGUCUAGUUCCAAGCCAUUCCUUGAUGCUUCGGCACCUGAAUUAAAAAGGAAAUAAAAAAAGAAACUGUUUCAUAAUUCUCAAGAAGAAAGUUAAACGAGGGAGAGUAGAUAAAAACCUUCGGAGAUGAACUCAGCCUCAGGCUCAGUCUGAGAAAGGAAAGGUUGAUCGGGCUUUAAUGAAGGCUGGUGGUUGUGUGAAGGAAACUGGAACUGAUGGAAAUCAAAUAACUGAAAUACAGAACACAUGCAACCAGAAGUUGUUGCACUUUCUUUAUCUAGUCUUCCUCUUCCUCUCUUAGACGACUUUCCACCACCCCAAUACCAUUCCUUUCCCAUCUCCAGUUGUAAAAGUCUUCUCUUUUUAGCUUUUUAUGGAUAUAGAAAAUAGUCAAGAAAAAGAAAGAAAGGUUGUAAAAAUGUGAAAAUUAGCGACAACCACAACUCGUAAAAGCAGUAGCGAGUGCUCUUGAGUAAGAAAAGCUGAAAUAAUUAUAAAAACUCACUUCGAUCUCUACGAUCGAAGUGAUUUUCUCUUUGCGCACUUCCUGGGUUUAAAACGGAAGUGGGUUUAUCGAGGAUCUGGUUUUGCCAAUGCUUCCCCUUCGACCUCUACGAUCCUCAUUCUUGAAUCUGAGAUAUGACCAAACCUUAAAUAUUUCCAAAAAAUAUUUGGAUUGCCUUUUUCGAAACUCUAAUUAUUAUCUAUGUUAGAGGGUAGAUUCGCUCUAUUUCGACAUCUCUACGAAUAGUUUUAGAUUUUUGAAUAUAAAUAUAUAUAUAUAACCUUUCUAUUUCUGAAUCAGGCCAUGGCCAUUCGGUGUGUGGUUAAUUCUCCAUGGUUCAACAGGAAAACUCUACUAUAUCCGAAAAGAUACAUUUAAUAAACGUUUAUUUCAAAAUACAUCUAAUAAACGUUUCUCUCAAGAAAAAAACUUUUUUGUGCAACGUUUAUUUCAAAAUACAUUUAAUAAACGUUUAUUUCAAAAAAGUUUUUUUCUUUAACAUAAUUGAUAGCCAAUGAAAUUUAAGUUUGAGGCUUUUUUAGUUUCAAAAACGAAAAUAAUAUCAUUAAAUUAAAGCCUAUUAAUAUUUUUUUAAAAAAAAAACUUAAAACAAGUACUAUUUAAAUUCAGAUUUAUAUAAAACUAACUCAUAUGAGUUUCAGCUCAGUGUUGCUUUUUUUAACUUAUUGUAAUAUUAUUUAUUUUAUAAUUUGAAAUAAUAAUACAAAUAGAUUAUUAUUAUUAUUAUUAACGUUCGGGGGACCGCAAUCUAAAAAUCAAGGUGGAGCAUCAUGUGCCAGAAACCUGAACAUUGUAUUUUUUUUUUUUUUUUUCAAAAACAUUGUACAGAGAAAACAAUGUCAUGAUUGCUCUCUCUGGUCUCUACCCGUUAGGGUGUUACGCUCUCUUUAAUUUGUUUUAUAAAAUAUAUUUUAUAAAUAUAUUAUUUUUAUUUUAUCUUUUAUUAUUCAAUAGUAUUAAUAAAAAAUAAAAAGUGUGAAUAAAAUUUAAAUAUAAAAAAUUCAUAUUACUCAAUGAAAUUUUCAAUUUUUAGAAAAUAUUUUUUUCUUAUGAAAAAAAAAUAUAUUUUUCUUAGGAAUUCAAUUACCCGAAAAAUAAUUUCAAAUUUUCAUCUAAUCAAAAAAUAUUUUAAUUUUUUUUGGUAAUGAGAAAAUACCUAAGUGGUUGAAUCCGAUCAAUUGAUAUUUAAGAAUAAAUACAAUUUUAAAAAAUUAAAUCUCUUAAAAGUAUUUUACAUUAUUUUUUUUAGUAAUCCAUACACAAAUAUAUUUAUGUUCAUGCAUAAUUCACGUUGGUGAUAUAUUUUAAUUUCGUGUAUGUAUAAAUAUAAUAAUUUUCAAGAAAAAGGAAACAAAUAUAAAAUCCCACUUUCAGUCAGAUUCAAGCGUUGUCCGGUUGCAGAUUAACACAGUAUCCUCAGUCCUCAACCAAACCCCACAGUUGUAUUGACACCUGACAGGGAGGACCACUUGGCACUUGCUAUUCCUAUUUUUAAUUAAAUUAUUUUUUCCCCUUAAAAUUUAUUUGAUUUCUCACUGUGAUUGCUAUAAGUUUCCUUCAGUCAAGUGUGCCCUAGACGGGAUUAGGGCAGAUUAUGGGGAAGCCAUAAACAGUGUGUGAACAUGCUGCAUAUAUGUAAAGGCAGUAAUAUGAAAAUUGUUUUAAGCAAAAAGCUUAAAAUUAAAAAAAUCAAAUAAUCAAAUAAAAGGGAAUCUAUUGCUUAAAAGGGUGGAAUCUUGAAAUUUAUAGAGACUGAAUUACACUCUUGUCGAUGACUGUUAGUACGGGAAACUGCGUAUUGAGGCUGACCUGGAUAAGGUGAAAAAGUAGUUUAACACAAUGUUCUUCAAUUAGUCCAGUUAAAUUUAUGAGUGUGAAGAGGUGUAUUAUGACCUAAAGUGAUUAACUCUUUAAUCUAACAACUAUAUUUAUUAAUUACUUCUUAAUUUCUUAAAUUUAAUCUAAUAAUUAACCCUUUAAUCUAAUAACUAUAUUUAUUAUCCUUCUAACCUAAAACUCAAUGGUCAAUAGUUACAUUUAUUAUUUUUUUUUAUAUUUGCUAGUAAAAGGUGGACCAUUUUCACCAUAUGGCAUUAUUGCAGAAGAAAUGUACCAUUACUUGUAAAUUAUCACUUCAUUGAUGUAUAGUUUCUUUCAUCAUUAAUUUAUUUACUUUUUGUGUAAUUGACUAUGACUGUUUUUCAAACUUCAAACCAACAUUAAUAUAUUAGUAUGAAAAGCAUAAGAGGAUGAUGAUAAAUCAAUAUCAAUGUCGACAUCACUAGCUACAUGUUCAGAUGUGACCAUGAAUUUGAUUCGCAUACCUAACAUUGCAGUCGAACAACUGUGGAUGUUUUAAUGCAUUUUCAUUCUGCUCUCUUCCUUCCAAGAACUCCUUUAAACAAUAAACAUAUUUGCUUAUAUUAGCAUUUACCAAAUAUGCAAGUCCCAAAAUCCCAAACUAUUAGUAUUCUAAUUAAUUAACAAUUGUUGUAACGAUUGCCACAUUGGUGGGGUACCAAUGCUAGCUGAAACUGAACUUUUUUAACUAAAUGAGCAUCAUAUCUGUGUGAUAGAUUGUCAACUUCCUUUGUGACAACAAGCGAUUAAUAAGUAGGCAGCUUGUUGGCUGUGAUGAUUAAUUUCCUUCUUAAUUGCUGACAUAUGUUUAACUGGAGUUAGCUGCCAACAGGUUUUAAUAGAAAACAGAUGAAAACUAUAUGAUGACUCUGAGUUCUUAAUGACCCACCACUUGUCUGCAUAGUCCCAAUACAAUACUGAGUGCAUUGUUGUCCUUCUAUAGCUUCCAAGUCCAAAAACGUAGAAUGGCAAGUUGUUGCCUCCAUAGAUGAUGAUAGACCCUAGUUAUGAAGGUACGAUGGCAAGUACCCGGCGGCGACCCAAUACUUGUAUUAUUCUGUAUAUGUAAAUGGUCCAGCCUCUAAAUGGGAAAAAUCAGAAAAGGAGCUGCAGGCUAAAACCAAGGAGUCAGGAAAAGGGUCCUACUCUUUUGGACUAGUACAAGCGUAGCUUUGAAACAUAAAGAAUAGGUCUGGGAUUUGGAUAAAUGGCUGAAGAAAUUUGAAAACUCCAUCACUACUGCUCAGACGCCAAGCCAGAACUUAUUUGGUGCAAUUAUAGGUGGAAGGUGUGAGUUUAAUUGCAAAAAUGAAAUCAUAUGCAGGAGAUAGGUGACUGGCUAAUCAGUGUUAUCAAUACACACAAAUUCUCAAUUUGUCUGGUUAGUCGGGCUGAUUAAGAAGAUAGGAAUGCAACCUUCAGAACGCUCAGUUACCCGGCGGAGCACAAUGAAAAUAAUUGUUAAACAUGAAUGCAGGGGAAAAAAGGAUUUAUUAAAUUAAUAAAAAUAUCAUUUCAUACCCCAUCUUAAUUUAACUAGUAAGACCAGCAAAAUACUUUAAUGGGAAUACUGAGGCCCGAGAAAUCCGUAGAUGAAAACACUUCGAGCAUGUUGUUUUUUUUUCAAAAAAAAAAAAAUAGUAACACUUCAAAAUUUAAAGAUAUAUAAUUAUGCAUUUUUAUAAAUAGUAGAGUAAAAUAUUUUUUAAUUAAUAAUAAUGUUAUUAAUUAUUAUUAUUAUCAUAUUUUUUUUUUAAGAAAAAGGAUUGUAUUUGCUUUUUUAUUAAUUUAACAUAUUUUCUAUGAAAUAAUUAAUUUAUAAAAAUAAAUACCACUUUAACUAAAUAUGUAUAAUUUUCUUAAACUUUAAUAUGAUUUUGUAAACAAAGCAAUUUUCCCUUCCUCAGUAAUAAGAGACCCAUCAAUAAACAACAAUUAAUAAAUAAUAUUCUCUUUUUUUUUUUUCAAACACAGCUAAGUUUUGAAAAAAGGAGUAACAUUCAAAAUUUUGAAUUUGAAACAGAUAAAAAGUUUCUCCAAUCUUUCUAUCUCGUCGGUACAAAGAUGCUAAAUUAGGGAAUAAGGAGGGCAUAACACAAGGUCACAGAUUGUGCCAACAGAUGGGCAUGAAUGCAAGGUACCAUCAAACUGAAGCGAACAAAGACACGGCACUACGGUGUAGCGGUGGAACAUUUGCUAGGACGGUUGGGUCACCCAAGUCUCCUGAAAAUUCCUCAAUUUUCAAUUUGCAACUGCCAGUGGAUGGCUUAUGAAAGUAAAAAAAUACAAUGAUAUUUUAUAAGACUCGAACUGUUUAAGCAUGCGAAGUAUCAAUAAUGCAUUAUAUGGACACAUGAUUACAAACGGAUAUGCAAAGAGAUAGCUAGAAAUUAUGAAACCUUGAAAAGGGCAUUCAAACCUGGAUAGCGGUAAACCAAGUGAACAAGGUAAAGGAAGCAUUUGGAAACUGUAUAUUCAGUGUCAAACAACUACAUGAUUACACAAGUACAUUCAAAAGAAACUAAGUUUCAGAACCUGGAAAUCAUUACUCCAUGCCUAGACGGUCAUAAAAUGCCAAUUCUCAAAUUCAACCCAUAACUUUCUGUCUUUUAUUCUUUCUGCAGACUCUCCAUCAGAAAAGUUUGCUACUGAGAAGAAAUAAGAAAAUGUUUGUAACAGAUUAGUUUACCUUCACGAGAAGCAUCCCAUGGAAAAACACCACCCUUAUCCUGCUUCCUGCUUUUAACACCACACAUAUAGACAGUUGAUAGAUUCAUUUUAAGAGAGAUGACUACUGGUCAAUCUUCAAUUACAUUCGUAAGGCCAAAAAGAAAGCAAGGAAAAGGGGUGAGGAGGGGGGUGCCCACAGAUUUCAACUUACAGCUCCGACGCAAUGAUGGGUAAUAUUGAAAAGAAAGAAGGGUAAUUAUAACAUCCUAGAAAAAAAUUUAAGGUAAUCAUAAGGUUCUUGAAACAUUGCUUGAUUGAUGGAGGAUAUUGGUGACAUGAGUCGAUUAGCAAUGUGAACUUCGAAAAAGUGCAACGACACUUUCUAUAUCAAUAACCUAUCAACAACUCAAUAAAUGAAGGGACAAAUGGAAAAAUAUUGCCAACGAAGACUGCAAAUAAUAUACCAACUAGAACAAAAGUAAAACUACUAGUCUUAUUGAUUAGGAAAAGGAACAUAAUUUUUUGAUAUGGUGGUUCUAACUUCUACCAUCUACAUCAAACCCAGCCCCAGUCCAGCCCGGUGUUGCAGAUCCUCUACCCUUGGGCACUGCCCCAACUCCUCUUCCUCUCCCUUGGAAGUGAAUUUUCUUUUUCCCUCUUCCUUCUCCUUCAAGAGUAGGCUGUUGAUUUUGCCCGUUCACAACUUGCACAUUUCCACUAUUUGCUUGAUUAGGUAUUUGAUCAGAGGCUCUAUCACCUGGUGCUGUUGAAAGAGGAACUGAAGCAGCAGCCAGAGCCGUGCUGUUUGAUUUUCCAUCCUAAUAAUAAUGGCAAAGUACAAAUUUCAACAAUCUUUACAGCAUCUGAUCUCUAUGUGUAUAGUUAGUAUGUAUAUCGAAGGAAAAGCUUGAUAAAUAUACAAAAAAUCUUCCCCAAUUAUGAUAGUUAAAUAUAUGGAGACAUGCAGUUCUAUUAGCCUUCUUAAUUACGGAAUACAGUUCUGUUAUACAGUUCUUAAUUACAGAAUACAGUUCUGUGUCAAUAAUAGUUCUCCAUUGCGCGACUACUUAACAUUUUCAAGCUAAAUCUUAAUUCUUAAUUGAGCUUCUGUGUACCCAUGUGUGUGCAAAUGCUUCUGCAGUUAACCAUGCUACCAGUUUGGCACAUCAUAUCUCAGCCAAUCUAUCAUUAUCUUUUGCCCUCUGAAAAGCAUAGAAGCCUUUCAAAGACAAAUAGCCAUUAUCAAAGAAAUUGCGUGUCAGUUGCACCCCCAUUUGGCAUUUAAAAGAAAUUCUUACACUCCUUUACUUAAGCCAUAAUUAGCCUGUUAUACCAACGUCCGUUUAACAAAAUCUUCCUCCGCUCUAGAAAAUUAAUGCACUGAUCUGGUUCACACUAUGAGUUUCAUACUCUUAGACUUGACCAAGAGGCAAGAACUGAGAUCUGUAUGCUACAAUGAUAACUUCAAUAACCAUUUGAGUGGUUUAUCAUUUUUCCUUCCACUGACUCCCAGGAGGGUUGGGUUAAGGUGGAGGAAUAUACUUGCAAUGUGUGAGAAGUGUAUAAUUAGAUACUUAGUUAUAACAUAUUAUUUAAAACUCGUCUUUGUCAUUUAUCUUCUCUUGUUUCGUGUUACAGUUUAUUUUCUCACCUGACCUUCCUCAAACUUACUAAAAACUCAAACAUACACAAAGGAGAAGUUCAAAUGAAUGUUAGCUUACCACACUUUUUUCUUUCUUCCUUUCUUUUUUCCUUUUUUUUUUCUAAUUUGCCCAGAGGGAAAGACAUGCACCAAGUGUGAUUGUGUGCAUGUGUGUCUCAAUUAGUUUAUGAACCUUCCAAGUCCAUCAUGUGGGUAAGUUCAUUAGUGAAAAACAACCAAGAAUACUCCAGUCCCAAAGAUACAAGAGAACAGAUCUCUUAUUCCAUAUGUUGAAUUUGCUACAUCCCAUAAAAGUUGAAGAGGUCAAUGAUUACAUUGCAUUUGCAGAAGAAAUUAAGAUUCAGUGUGUAAGAACAAAACUAAUAGUUGAUUCCCAAUCCAUACAUAUCAUUCUAAUGGUAAACUUCAAUUUCAGUAUCAUAUGCAUUCCUUUACCAAGGAAAUAAAAUAUUAAUGAAAUAAAUAUAAAUUGGAUCCACUUCUAAUAGGAAGGGAAUGGAAGGGAAGCGAAG
rnacentral:lncRNA from 1 species